rnacentral:lncRNA from 1 species
UUUUUUUUUCUAUUUUUCUCCCUAAAGUAUUAGAGUUGCUCUAACACUUUGUCGCGGAAAAAAAAAAACUCACCGCGACCCGUAGCCUGCGGGUGCGAGGCGGCCCAGUGCCACGUCCCCCACCUCCCGCUCCUCCAUCUCCACGUCCAAUCAGUCAACCGCAACGAAGAACCAAACAAAUUCGCACGCAAAACAGAGCAAACUUGUCGCCCGUGGAUUGCCCAACCAGGCAAGGUCAAUGCAGUUCAGCAGCUGCGAAACCAGUCAGUGAGCCGCGAGCUCCCUCCCGAUCUGGCAGUGGCAGCCAUGGCCGCGGAGAGCUGCCAGUGCCACCCCCGCGGCCUCUCCUGGUUCGCCAGGUCCUGCAUCCCCGCCGACCCCGCCCGCCACAUUGCCGUCCCCGUCCCAAUCUCCGCCGCAUCCGCCACCAACACCAACACAGCCUCCGACACCGAGGAGUCCCCCAUCUCCGCGCUCCCCGACGAGCUCCUCCUCGAGUGCCUGGCCCGCGUGCCCCGCGCCUCGCUCCCGCCGCUCCCCGCCGUCUGCUGACGCUUCGCCACCCUCCUCGCCUCCGAGGGCUUCCUCCACCUCCGCCGCGCCCACGGCCGCCUCCGCCUCCGCCUCCUCGCCGUCUCCGUCUCCUCCGCCCACGGCGCGGCCACAUUCGCCCGCGCGCUGCUCCAGCUCGGCGCAUCCUCCCGCCCCGACGUCGAGGUCGCCGCGCUGCCCCUGCCUCCGCCGCUCCUGCAUUGCGCGGGCUCCUCCUCCUCGGCCUUCGCGCACGCGCGCGCCGUCGCGCUGGGCCGCGACGUGUACCUCAUCGGCCGCGGCGCGCGCGUGCGCGCCUACGCUGUUCCCGCGGAAGAAGUUCGCGGCGGCGGCCGUGGGCGCGCGGAUCUACGUCGCGGGCGGGUCGGCGCGGAACACGGCGGUCGAGGAGUACGACCCGGACGCCGACGCGUGGCGCGUCGUGGCGGAAGCGCCGCGGCGGAGGUACGGGUGCGCCGGCGCGGGGGCCGGCGGCGUGUUCUACGUCGCCGGCGGGGUGGCGGUGUCCGGGCGCGCCGCGGGCGCUCGAGGCGCACGCGUGCGCCGGGUCGGUGGACGCGCUGCACGUGGCGUCAGGCGCGUGGGCGUGGUCGGCGCGGCCGCGGGCGGUGCCCGGCGGCGGCUGCGUCGUGGGCGCCUGCGGCGCCGGGGACGGCCACCUCUACGUGGUGGCGAGCCACGUGGUGGACCUAUCCUUCUCGGUGGAGCGGCGGUGGUGUCAACAGGGGUGGUGACGUCGGUAGAAGUGCCUGCGCCACCGCCCGUGCCCCGGGGCUCGGUGGGUCUGGGCACGGCGGUGCGCGUGGCGAUGGCCGGUGUCGGCGGGGACAGGGUGGCGGCGGUGGUGAACGUGGCCGCCGUGAGGGGCCGCAAACGGAGGCCGUGCCCCUCGCCGCGCAGGCGCGGUGACACAGAAGCAUGCACGUCAAGAGCAUCCCAUGGCCGUCCGGAAGCUUGGAAAUUUCCCUUUGCCGCCAUUGUGACGGAGUCCGACUCCAAGGCAGGGGAGCGACUCGGAAUGUCGGAUUCCAAUCUGCAGCCGGACAGGCAAUCCGAUUCGAUUGCUCCAAACCGAGUCGACUAGGCAAUCCGAUUCGAUUGCUCCAAACCGAGUCGACUACAGACCGACGAUCCGAACCGAGAACAACCCCAGCUGCGCGUCCUCUGGCCUAUAAAUCCAUGGCAACCCUCCCCUCCGGUACUCCAUUCAUCCAUCCACCCAUCACCUUCUCCCUUCUGCCACCGCCGCCGCUCUGAUCCCACUUUCCCAGGGUCAUGGAGAUGGCGGCGCUGGGCCCGGCGAUCUUCUCCCGCGGCUUCCGCUUCAACCCGACGCCCCUCGAGGCCGCCACCUACUACCUCCCUCGCCUCGUCGCCGGCGCGCCGCUGCACGAGGCCGUGCGCCCCGUCGUCAACCAUGCCGACGUCUACGGCUGCGAGCCCGCCGACCUCGCCCGCCAGUUCUGCCCGCUGCCCAGGACCGGGCACCGAUUCUUCUUCACCCACUGCAAGCUGCAGCAGCCGCAGAGGGCGGGGAAGGCCAGCAGGGCCACGCGCGCCGCCGGCUCCGGAUCGUGGCACUCGCAGAGCGUCAAGGACGUCGUGGACCACGCCGGUGUCAAGGUCGGCGAGAUCAGGAAGCUCCGGUACAAGAAGGGCGGCGAGUACACGGACUGGCUCAUGGACGAGUACUCGUGCUGCUUGGAGGACGCCGUCGUCGGCGACAGGCAGUUCGUGCUCUGCAACAUCUACGUGUCCCCCAGGGCCGAUCAAGGCUCCGCGGCGCGCCAAGAAUCCGCCGCCUUCUUCGCUCCACCUGCGCCUGCGCCCGUCGUGAUCGCGCAGGCUGCGGCGCCCAAGAGGCCGACGCCGCAGAGUGCCGAGCCGCCGUGCCCCAAGCGGAUGCGGGGUGCCGUCGCCCCGACGCCUCCGGUCGUGCAGCCGGCGGGUUAUUGCACGGCGUCCUUCGCGCCACCACUGCCGUACGUGCCUCACAUCGCCACUUCAGCUCAGCCUCCGCCGCCGCCAGUUCCGACCCGUCUCGCAGCGCCGCCGCUAAGUCGCUCGCUAGCGCCCACACCACUGCACCCGCGUUCGCCACCUCAGCAACAGAUGCCGCCGCCGCCGACUCUCCCGGUGGUACGUGCCUGCCACAUGCCAGUGCAAGCACCGGCACGUCACUGCCAGCCGCCUCAGCCGUCCGUGCAGAAGAAGCAGAGCACACGCGAUCCGUUUGAAGCCGCUGAGCUGGGAGACGAAGCAGAGGAGGAAAGGGUGGCAGCGCCUGAUCCCAAGGAGUCCCCUGCAGCGCUUGUUGAUCAAGAUGACGACUGGGCCGAGUUGGAAAAGUGCAUGGACGACGCCGUGCCAACAGCCGAGGGCUCGACGGUGAGUGAGGACGAGAUGGACCAGACGAAGCAGAGCACGGACGAUCCGUUUGAAGCUGCCGAACUGAGAGACGAAGCAGAGAAGGAAAGUGUCGCAGCGCCUGGUCCGGCACAAGAUUUCGACAUGGACGAGUUUUGCAGGUCACUAGAAGGAAAUGGCGACUUGGUAAGGCUCUUUGAGGAUGAAGACAACGUGCUGACAGCCGAAGCAGAGGAGGAAGCAGCUGCCAACUCUGAGGGCUCAACGAUGGCUGAAGACGCGCCUGAUCCAUCGUCCAUGGAGCAGUCGCCUGCGGCGGCACAAGAUUUCGACAUCGACGAGUUUUGCAAGUCAGUACAAGACGACAUAUGGGCAUGCGAGCUGGACCACUUUGCAUGCUCUUUCGAGAACGAAAGCUUCUCCUGGGAGUAUGGCAUGGGUUAGGAAGAGAUCCAGGUUGCAACUGGAUUGGGAAGGCUUGAUGACUGACGACAGCAAGAGCAGUAGCAGCUGCACAAGAGCUCCAUCCAGAAGAAGGAUUGCGGAAUUUGUAAACUUUUCUGCGGAUGAAAAUAAUGUUAUCCUUCCUAAAUGUAACAACUCUGCGUGUUGAAUUCAGUUUGGGCAGUCUUGUGGUAGCAUACAUAGUAUGUUUUUGAAAGCUCUGGUUCCAAAUUUGUUUCUGCGGAUCAGGGUCUUAGCAAAUUCUGUAACCUGCGUGCAAUAGCUAUUGGCAUUUGGCAACACAUUCUAAAAUCCUCUUACCCUACGUUCCUUAUCAAACUGAAAAUACGAACGCUAUCUCUUGGCUGCAAAUCGAAUCUAUCCAUCUCUCCCGUCCCCUUCCUGCGUUCCGGCCGGCGGCGGCGUGAGCGUCGAGGCGGUGGUGGCCGUUGGACAAUUCCAUGUCAAUUGGUUCGGUAAAUGAUGGCACAUUUCUCUUUCUCAAUUUGUUAGCUUGAUCUGAGUCAACUUUAGGUCGCUUUUGGUUACAUUUACUUAUUUGCACCGUUACAUCGAAUGUUUAGGUACUAAUUAGAAGUACUAAACGUAGACUAUUUACAAAAUCCAUUACAUAAGUGGAGGCUAAACGACGAGAUGAAUCUAUUAAGCCUAAUUUAUUUUUUGAUAAAACAGGAGGGGAAAGCUGGUUAUAUAUUAUAUGUAAGAAAAGAAGAGCAAAGAAAUUAUCCAGUUUAUCUCAAGAAACAAAGAAAGAGAGAAAAAUCAUAAAGAUUACAAUAUAUGCUCUAACCAUUCUAACAUUGAUUGCUUCCAUUCCUCUUUUACGCGAAGGACAACCUGCGUAAAGACAGUCUUGAACCUCAACAUGGCACUAUAGACUGAUGGAGUGAUUCCUUUGAAUAUCCAGUCAUUCCUUUCCAUCCAAAUACACCAACUCAUGAGAAUAAUGACUUCCAUGAAGAAUUUAACUUGAAGCUGAAUUCUGAAGCUAUUGAGGAUAUUAUAGGGCUCUUCUGUCAAGUUUACAAACAGGCUAAUAUUGAUCCAACAUUCCUGAGCAAAAGGACACUCAAGGAGAAGAUGGAACAAGGUUUCUUCUCUAUUAUGCGUGCAUAGGUGUGACGACUGCCCAAAUCUUCGAGUUAAUCUUAAUCUGAGUCCCUGAUCCCCUGUCUCAGCUUUACCGAGUUUAAGUACUCAACUUCCGACCCCUGAGAUCCGACCCCUCUCCACCGCUCCCCAGUUCCGACCCUGCCGACCCCAAACCCAUACCGCCGGAUCCUUUUAAGUCUUCCCACCGUAUCUCUCUCGAUCUGAGCAGUGGACCAACCGAGACUGACCGGUGGACCCACAAAAUCUUUUCCCCAGAUCUUCCACGACAGACGCACUCGAGUAGCAUGCCCGCUGCAGAGUUCCCCCACCGCGUGGCCCAACCCUUCCGACCCCCGUCGCUCCGCCCCGUCGCCGGCCGCGACCGGAUGGAUAUCCGCGCCCCCUUCCCCAAUCGCAGCGGAAGCCCUCUGCAACCCUUUCUGCAGCACCUCGCCGCUCGCGCCCAUCAUCACCUCGCCGGACCCCCAACUGCGGAGCCCAAUUGUAAUAAAUGCCAUUUGGAAUAAUAUGGUAAUCAUGAAAAAGUCAGAAGGAAAUUCAAAAGAAAAAGAAGGAAAAAUGGCAAAAAGAUCAAAUUCGGCAAAAAUUUGAUCGAAAUUUGAAUUUCAAAUUUGAAAUUCAGAAAAAUUUGACCAGUAUGUGGAAUGCAAGUAUGAGAGUAUUCGGAAUUGAGAAAUCAAAAACUUAGAGUUAAAUUGAUGCCAAUUAUUACAAAAGCAUCAGAGAAAGAAGAAGAAAAGAGAAAUUCCGUUUACUGUUCCUCGUCCGACAAUAGGUUCAGAGAAAACAGCUCCAGAGUCUGUUUUCAAAAUUCAAUUCUGAAGAAUUUUCCAACCAAGUGUACCAGAACAACUAUACCAUGUUGAAAUAUAAACUUUGGGCUGCAAUAAUCAUGUGUUGUUGGCCAAGAAUAGUAAAAGGAAGGAAGUCAACCUCGAGCUCAAAGUCAGCACAAAAUCACAAAUGACUGAAACUCUGAAAUUUUUGCUAAGUCUGAAUGACAGUGUGACCUCAACUUUGGGAUUGAAUUCAGAGCCAUUUAAAUCAAAAGAGGUACUUGUUCUUGUGCAAAAUGGAAACUUGGGAGAUCAUAGAACACAUUUGAGAAGAAGUUGGACUGGAAAAACAAGACUUAAGUCCUUAAAUUGGUUCCCAAAUUAAAGUCCAUGUCACUGUCGAACUGACGAACAGCAAUUGCAAUUCAGUCGACAUUCAGAGCUAACCCGAGCUAAACUUCAAAAAUUCAGUGAAUUCGAUCUUUAUCUCAAGUUGACGCCAAAAUAAAAGAUGAAGGCCUUGAGUUUAUCCCCAAGUUCUGUUUAAGCACGAGCAGCCGUCGGAUCAAGGAUCAGCCGCUAGCCGCUUCUGAAGAUCGCGGGCGCCAGAAGACGGUGACUGAGCACCAGGACGUGUCGCCACCGCCGUCGUCGGUCGUCCGCCAGCGCAGCUAAGCUAGGCCACCUCCUCGCCACAUACGCCUACGGGUAGGCCACGGUGUCACCCAUGCGCGCGGUGAAACACUUGAAUAUCUACCGCUCCCGCGCCGCCGUUUCACCGCCGCUCUUUUUACCGCCGCCCGUGCCUCUUCUGCCAGACACCGCCGCCAAGCAAAAUUCCACCUCCACACCGCCGCUCCCGUCGAUUCCUUCCAUCCACACCUCCGCCUACACCCCACCAGUAGCCCUACCACCUUGUUGCCCAGCUCCUUCGCCGUGACACCUUGUAUCGUCGCCGCUUCUGUCCGCCGCCGUCGCACCGCCCGCUCUCGGUGAGAACCCCUCGCGCUGUCUCUCUUCCUUCUUGAGCAGUCGUAGUCGAGUCCUUAGGGUCCUAGGAUGGUGUCGGGGUAGUCGUUUGAGUAGGAUGUGCCGUAGUCGCGAGUAGCCACGGCCGGCCGAGGGAGUCGCCGCCCGUCGCCGUGGAGGAGGUAGCUCCGGUCGUCUCCAGGGGAGCUGUCGCCGCGCGCGAGGUCGUGUAGGGUUAGGGUUUGUGUCGUCGUCGAGACCCGCCGCCGGGAGGGCGCCGGCCGGCGAGCCGCGCCGCCCCCUGUUCCGGUCGCGCUUUUGGCGGGAGGAGGAAGAAGGAGCUGUGCACCCGGGCCCGCGCGUCAGUGAGAGAGAAGGGGAGGGAAGACGCAGGCCGAAGCGGUGCGGCCGUCUUGGGCCGGCGUGUUGAGGCCCAGUGGCGCGCGCGGGUGACCCGAAGAGAAGAGGCCGGAGGCCCAGAGCAGCGUCACAGGCCGGCGUCGCGCGGAGAAGAAAGAAAAAGAAAAAGGGGCCGUGGGCCGGUGCUGGGCUACCAGGAGAGAAAGAAGGGGGGAAAUCGGCCCACGGAGCCCAUCGGGAAGAAGGAUAGGGCCGGCCGGUAGAGUGUAUAGGAGAGGUGGGGUCCGCGCCGUGGGGUCCAGGUGUUCGUGAGAAGGGGUAGAGAGGGGGUGAGUAAGAAAAGUUUUCCGGGGGAAUUUUCGGGAAAAGUUAGAUUUCUUUAGCAAAAUAAUUCGUUUAAAAUUCGUUUUACACCAUUUUAAUCACAGAAAUUUGUAGGAGUGUCCAAAAUUAGUGAACCCAAUUUUGUUAGGCUUGUUUUAUUUUCCUUUAUGCAUUAAAAUUUUUACACCCUAGGAAAAUAAUAAAAAUUUGGGUAUUUAUUUAAUGCCUUCCUUUUAAAGGUAAUUAAAUAAAUGCUUAAUAUUUAUAAAAUGUAUAAAAAUAUGAAUAAUACUUUAUUAAUCACAAAUAACCCUUAACUCAUAGGAAACUAGAUUUUUUUGAGUUAGAAAUUAUUUACCACAUUUAUCAAAAAAAUUAAAAGCUAUAGGAAGGGUUAAGUAAGAAAAAUAAAAAUAUAGGUUAAUCUUUUUAGAUUUCUUUUGUGUGUUGACUUACAACUUAUUCGUGAUAAGUCGUAUAGUCCUUGUUGGCUUGCAACUUUAUCAUGAAGGAAAGUUGUAUAGUCUGUUAUUUAAAAAGUUUGCAUUCUAACCCCUGCAUAUAUGUACCGUAGAUCCAGAAGCACCAGAAGAGGAUUGCUGGGAAUUUUCAGAAGGACCCUUGGAAUUCGACGAAGUGUUUGAAUUUGUCCCUUGUGAAGCAAAUCCGUCGGCUUCUACUAAUCUUUUUAACGAUCAAGGCAAGCCCCGGUGCAUUUAUACCUAUCUAUUUUGGAGUCGUUAUUUCAUGUGACUAGUUAUAGGUUAUUGGUUUAUUGCAUGCACUAAGUCUAGGAGUUGGAUGAAACCUAUUCUUGUGUGUGAUCAUGCCUUGAUUUAAGGACAUCUUUGCCACUUGUUCAAAUCUUAGAAACUACCCAAGUCUAGAAUUGCUUACUUGCUUACAUACUUGGUUUACCAACCUUAGGGAAAACUCUUAAGUCAUACAUGCUGCUUAUGAAAGAUAGUUUGGAGUAGAGGAUCAGACAGAAGCUAGAGAUGUAGUUCUGUCUACUAGAUUAAUUUGAUUGAGGACCGAUCCGUGUCUUAACUGCUGAUCAAGUGAUAACAUCUGAUCACUUACUGGGUAUGGGACCAGUAAAGCCCAGUAGAUUAGUAAAUUCUAUGAUCAGGAAUGCUCCGUACCCGCAUUUGACGUGCUGGAGAUUGGCAGGGGUGUAGCCUGAAACUCACAUGGGGAUCAGGCCAGACGUGGGGUCCCAUGUGGGGGUGCAUCCCUGGGUCCGGGUAGUUGUAUUCCUAAUCAUUGACUUUACUAAUCGAGAGGUUGUUAGUACGACCUGGACAAUCGUAUGAUGCUGGUGAUCGGGGUGCUCUCCUGCAGGAUGUAAAUUGAUCCGGAUCGCCGCAAUUCUCGGUUAUGAAUGCACUUGAUCACUGUUGAGCAUCGUAGUGUAACUCAUGUGAUAUAAAAUCUCCUGUUGCCAAGUAUUGUAUGAAUUAACAGUUAUGAUUGUUUUUACUUCUGUUAUCACCUAGAAUGGUUAGGUAACAACUUAACUAAACUAAAAGACAAAACUAAGGCCUUACUCGUAGUAAGCUUUUUCGGCAAAAACCGUGUCAACCAAGCACACCCAAAGGCUGACAUGCAUUCCAAUGAAAAACUAUUAUAUUGGUUAGUCGGGUAAGACUUGCUGAGUACCCCGUACUCAGGGUUUCCCCCUUGUGGUUAUCUUUCAGAAGCUACACAGGAAGCUACCGAGGAGGAGACCCCGAAGACCUAGAGUAUUGACCUGAGUCUCUCAAUACUCUAGAAAACCAUUCAUCGACGCAUCUUCUCCUAAACUGUUUAUGUUUAAUCUUAGAGCUUGUCUAACUCUGCAUCACUAAGUUUGUCUCAACUUAAAUAUUGUAAUAACUCGUACCUCUUAAUUAUGUAUGUAAAAAUGUAAUAUUUGUUGAUAUUAUCCCAUCGCGGAUAUUAUCCUGAUGUAUGGUGAUGAAACACGCCGUGGAUCUUUCGAGGAGUCCUAGGGACACUCGACGGACUACCGGACUUAUGCUGUUUUAGGUGCGUUUCGGAUAAUUGCUGCUCCGACAGCGAUUAGGCGCACUUAAACCCGCUUAAGUUGGGCGGUUCCGCCACACCAAUGCCUCCCGUCUUUUCCGCCGCCCCUCCACAGUCGCGCCGCCCGGACUGCGCUACGCGACGAUUCCUCCGUCGCUAAUCCACACCCCGGCCGCGACAGUCCCUUUCCCGCCCUGUCAGAGCAGCGCCCCGACAAUCUGUUGCUUCGCGCUCGCCCGCGCGACCGCAGCCCGCCUGUCUUCUCACCUGUGCGCCCUCGUUUCUAGCGCCAUUUCCCCGGUCACUUCCAUCAGAUCCACCGCACGACGACGCCCGCCUCCGCCAAAUCUCAACCACCGGCAAAACCGCGCCUGCGCCGCCCUGUCAUCGGUGCCCAAUGACCGCCGGUGCCAUCCCCGAAGUUCUGCUCCACCGCCCUCGUUGCUCAAUCACCACCCCGGCAGCGCACUCCAUCGUUCUUCCCGAUCUUCGCGCCGCCCCAACCCUCUCUCUCGUCCGCACGACUAUAAAAAGGAAUGCCGGAGCCCCGCCGGAGUUCCCGUUCGCCAUCGCUGCCCUCCCGCUUUGCUCCCAGUUCGUGCUCACCGCGCCACCGCCUAAGUUCCUGAGGAACUCUCCUCUCCGCUCCACACCAUUUUCCCCAAUCCGCCCAGCCUCUUGCUCCUCCGCACUGCGCGAGAGCUUGCUUGUUGUCCACAAGAAGCGCCGCCGCCGUCGGAGCACCGCCGGGCAUCGCCUGCCCAAGUCUGCUCUUUUCCGACCUCAAGCUUCACCUGUGAGACGAAGGUAAGCUGCCGACCCUUUUUCCGCCUCGUCCGACCCCUUCUAUCCGACCGACCCUUGUUCCGUCUCGCCCGACCCUGUCUGUUUCGCCGACCCUUUCUCCGCCUCACCCGAGGGCUCGUCUGUAUCUUUUUCCUUGAACCGAGGGUAUAUGCGUAAAACUUGGGGACUUCUCUGCGUUAAGUCUGAGGACCCCAGCACAUCUAUUCCUCUAGUUUAAGGGUCUGAUCAUAAGUUCCUUCCCAUCCAACCCUCAUAUCUUGAUCUCCACCAACUCAAGCGAACCUCCCCACCUUUCCGUAACUUGCCGCAAGUUUCUGGGCUCAAACUUGCAAGUGUUGCUGUUGAAAUAACCGUCUAAAUGCUAACCCAUGCAUUGCAUUCGUGUAGAGCUGCGUCUCGCCGACGGCUUCUACGAGUUGUACCCGGCGCCCGAAGAAGGAGUUGCAGCAGAGCUCCCGCCUCUAGAAGCCGAAGCCGCCCCAGCAGAAGACCUCUUCCCUUCCUCCUCGCUUGAAGGCAAGCCCCGGAUGCAUGAACCCCCUAUAUUUUCCCAAACUUGCGCAUGCCUUCUUUAUCAUGCUUGUGCAUUUACGUAUAGGAGUUGUUUGGAACCGUAGAUGCAUGACUUAGCUCCCUGAUCUGAACACUAGCUGUUGGACCAAGUAGUUGCUGUGCUUAAAUAGGAAGCGGUAAAAGUCGAGUGAUUUCCUGUCACUCGCGAGUUGUAGGAGUUGGUUGUUUCUCCUUCUGUUACAACUAUAAGGACGAUGGACGGGGCCGGGUUCUGGUUAACUUUUUGGUGGUCGGCUGAUCGUCCUGUCUGUCUAUGAAACUUGCUAAGGCCCGACAGUGGUGGUGUUCGUGAUCAAGUGUUGAAAGUACUAACCUCAUACUUAUUAUGGGAUGAGGAAGCCGAGUACCGGAUUGACCCUAGACGUGAGCGGUCGCCCCAUUGUCCUUGGAACGAAGUUUCCCCUGCGGGCGCACGUGGUGGCAAGUGUGGUCACAGAACGGCAGAGGCCGGGUCUGUGGAACAUUGCACCAAAGGGAAUGGGCCCGACACGGGUUAGGGGAUUGAUGGGGAAGGCCGACACAGGAAGCGACCCUCGGUGGUGCGCGGAUGUCGUGAGGUUAGGUUCACCAUGCAUGGUUAAAGAACUCGAAUCGAUUCGUCUGCCUCUCACAGUUUGAGACUACUUGAUCGCUAUGUCACCCUGAGUAAUAAAGGAAUCUGAUGAUGACAUGGUCUUGAUGAUGUUAUAUAUGUAUACCUUUUGGUUGGUUCUAUGUUUGCUUAGAGUAUGUUGCUAACUUAGACCGGAUAAUGAACUUAGAACCGGAGCUAAAACUUUGAAAAUAAGGAUCUACUUAGUGCCUUUGGCAAACAAACCCCUCAGCCAAAGAGCCUUGCAUGUCUAGAGUGGUGGAGUAGCUCUACUCCCUGUCGGUUAAGUCUUGUUGAGCUUAGUAGCUCAGCCUUGUUGUGGCUCUUCUUUUUUAGGUGAAGUUGCUGCUCUUGAGUCCUCCUCUGUUGGCACUUGGCCGCCCCAACUCCCUCCGGGUUGGACGGUUGAGUGGGAUCCCUCCUCGGACGGCGAGGAGAGGGAUCACUGAUGUCCUGGUUGGCCUCACCAGGGAUGUCCGACCCCGACGAAGUAGCUUCCGCUUGUUGCCUUACCUUCUGUUGUUUUCUUUGAACCUUGUAAAACUCUGAUGUUUAUUUUAGUGUUGAACUAAAUGGUCAAUUGUUUAACUCAGUGGACUUGUUGUAUUCUCUGGAACUGCUCACCUUCGUGUGAGUUUGCUAACUCGGUCCUGUUCAAGUGGUUAAAUCGGAUGAAAUCCGACGGCACUUCGUGUUAACUUGGUUAAGGCAUGAGUGUCGCAUAUUAGGCGACUUAAUCAUGUUUAAUCAAGCUAAUCCGAAGUGGAUCCACCACAGCUGGACACAGGAGUAAGAGGGCAAAUCCAUAUGUUUCCUUCGAAGAACAUUCCUUGUACUUAAUCUGUCUUUGAGAAGCAACCAGAAAAAGAAUUUAUGUUUGCUUUGGCAUUUAGAUUUUCAAAGCCACCGGAAAAUUGGAUGAACAUGGUGAUGUCUUGUUAGUGCUCUAUAUGCUUUUGAUGAGGAAAAAUGUUGAUUGCCCCAAAUAUAUGUCCAGCAGUCUUGCUCAUCAUUUAUGGAGAUAAAAUCCAAAUCGGCAGCUAAUUGUAGCAAUUGAUCCAUGGCUAGGGCUGUUAGAGGCAAGUUGAAGAGCUGUUGUAAAUCUGUUAGCACAUAAGCCUGCCUGAGAGAUAUGUUUUCCUUUCUAGUAAAUGAGUAAAGUUGUGGAUAUGCUUGAGCAAGAACCUUAUUGUUCCACAGAUCAUGCCAAAGUAAACAUGUUCGUCCAUUGCCAACUGUUACUGACGCUAAACCCUUAAAUUUGUCCAUGAGCUUGACAAUGUCUCUUCACCAAAAAGAUCCUUUUCUUACUUGUCCUGGCAGUCUACCAGUAGCAUAAUGUUUCUCCCAAAUCAGAUGAACCCAUGGGAUAUCUGCUUGAUUAAAGAAUUUGUGUAGGUAUUUUAGUAGAAGAGAUUCAUUUUGGGUUCUCAGGUUUAAAACACCAAGGCCACCCUCUUUCUUUGGCAGGCAUACCAGCUCCCAGGCAGCUUUGGGUGGUUGUCUAUUAUUUAUAUCAGAUUUUCUCCAGAGACAACAUUUUCUAUACUUAUCCACUUGUUUGUACACUGUCUUAUGUAAUAAGAAAGUGCACAUAUGAAACAUUGGCAUAGCUGUGAAGAUUGAAUUUGUUAACUGAAGCCUUCCUGCAUCUGAUAAAAAAUUUGAUGUGGUUACCAAUCUUCUCUCACACCUGGAUACCAUUGGUAGAAACUCUUCAAUCCUGGGUUUAGUGAGACCCAGGGGUAGCCCUAGGUAAGUAAAAGGGAAACCACCUGUAGCACAUCCAAAGGUUUGUGAUAAGAACUGCAAUCUAUCUUCUGUGAUAUUAAUAGGCACCAUCAUUGAUUUAGAGAAGUUAACUUUCAGACCAGUGGAUACUGCAAAAUUUUGAAGAAGCUGUUUCAAGUGUAGAAGCUAGUUGGGGCAGCCCUCCAUAAUUAUUAGGGUGCCAUCUGCAUACUGUAAGAUAGGGAAAUCUUGACUGUAUGCCAAAGGGAUAGGGAGGUGCAGAUGACCUUGCUCUUUUGAGAGGUUAAGUAUAGAUUGCAGGAGGUCAGCUCCCAAAACGAAUAAAAGAGGAGAUAGAGGAUCCCCUUGACGAACUCCACUCUUACAAAUGAACCUUUUCCCAGGAACACCAUUCAAGAGCAUGGAGGAUGUGCCUGAUCCAAAUAUCUGCUCCAUCCACUGGAUCCAUUUAUCUCCGAAAUCUUUCUGUUGCAUGAUUGACAGCAUAGCUUUGUGUUCAAUUUUGUCAAAGGCCUUCUCAAAAUCAAGCUUAAGAAUGACUAUCUCUUUUCUCAAUUUGUGGUAUAAAUGUAGAUACUCAAACGUCCAGGCUAAGCAAUCUUGUAUGGUUCUUGACUUAAUGAAACCAUAUUGAUUUGCAUGAAUAAGUGACUGGAUUACCUUUUGUAGUCUGUUGGCCAAAAGCUUUGUUAUAAGCUUCAUGGAUGUGUUUAGGAGAGAAAUUGGCUUGUAAUCUGUGACCUUUGCUGCACCCUCAAUUUUAGCUAUUAGAGUGAUAUAUGAUCCAUUUAUGCUUCGCAAGCAGACAGUGCCAGAGUGAAAAUCUUCACACAGAGAAUAGAAAUCUUGUUUUAUUAUGUGCCAACAGCUCUUUAUGAAAUUGGUAUUAAACCCAUCUGGUCCAGGGGCCUUGUCAUUUGGGAGGUUAUUGAUUACAAAGUCAAUCUCUUCGUGUGAAAAAGGUUCCUCAAGGUGGCUUAAGUUGUCAGUUGGAUGUAGAAGCUGUUGCAGAUCAAAGAGCAUGGAGUUAUACUCGGAGGUGCCCAAUCUUUCUUUAAAAGCUUCCCAUAAAAUUGACUCCUUCACUUGAUGCUGGUAUUGAGGAGUUCCAGAUGUGUCCUCUAGGGAUCUAAUAUAACUUUUUCUAUGCUUAAUGGUUGCAUUUGCAUGAAAGAAUUUUGUUGACUCAUCACCAAACUUUACCCAUUUAAUGGAUCCUCUCUGUUUCCAAUAGAUAUUCUGCUGUUUGAGAAAGCAUUGCAACUGUUCCUGUAGAAUGACUUUAAAAUUCCAUUCCAUGAGGGUUAAGUCUCUGUAUUCUUCAAUUGAUUCCAUAAAAAAUAAAGACAACUUCACAUUUGAGAUAAGAGACUUGAGGUUCGAUAGUUGAGAAUUCCAUGUUCUUAGAACCCUUCUAAGAUUCUUGAAUUUUUUAGUGAUAGUUUUUGCCUUGUCAGAUUCUUGAACCGGGACUGACCAACCAUGUGAGACAAUAUCCAUGAACUGAUCAUGUUCCACCAAUAAUUUUCAAUCUAAAAAUCUUACCCUUUGGGAUAUCUGUCCUUACAUGAAUGACACAGGGUGAAUGAUCUGAUGUUUCCAUCACCAAAGAGUAGGCUGAUGUGUUUGGGUGACUGAGAGUCCAAGAAGCAGAAGUAAAGAACCAGUCUAGUCGUUCCAACAAGGGUAUUUGUUGCUUGUUGGACCAAGUGAAUUGCUUGGAUUUUAGAGGAAUUUCCACUAAACCCAGAGUGUUAAUGGCAUCAUUGAACAUGAACAUGUCACUGUAAUUACCACCUGGUUUAUUUCUAUUUGAAGGAUCACGUAUGAGAUUGAAGUCCCCCACUACCAACCAGUCGUAAUCAUCAGGCAUUUGGAUGUGCUUGAACCAUUGAAUGAAGGCUAUUUUCCCCUCCACAGUGCAAGGACCAUAAAUGUUUGUUAGAACCCAUUCCCAAUCAGUAAGAUUUGAAGAUAACUUAACUGAGAUAGCAAACUGAUUCAUGAAAAUUAAUUCCCCAUAUAACACAGACGAUUUCCAGAUUAUGGCAAUCCCACUAGAGGCCCUUGUGACGGUAGAAACUCAUACCUAUCAAAGGAUGAGGGACAGAACUUUUUAAUAAAUAACGAAUCUAUUAAGCCUAAUUAGUCCAUGAUUUGAUAAUGUGUUGCUACAGUAAACAUUUGCUAAUGAUGGAUUAAUUAGGCUUAAUAGAUUCAUCUCGCCGUUUAGCCUCCAUCUAUGUAAUGGGUUUUGUAAAUAGUCUACGUUUAAUACUCCUAAUUAGUAUCUAAAUAUUCGAUGUGACACGUGUUAAAAAUAAGCAAAAGAACCAAACGCCCCUUAGUUGUGCUCAUCCAUAUAAACACACACAUUAUUCUUCCUGUCUGCCUUUUAUACUUUGAAGAAAAAUAUGAUGGUGCCCAUUUUAGGGUUUGUUAAUGCUGUCUGUAAUACUUGCAGGACACCCGUGAGACAGCGUUUGCCCUCAGGAAGUUGUCACUCACCAAGGCCAAAAGGUACCUGGAGGAUGUGAUUGCCCACCGUCUUUGUAUUGUGCAAGGGGCGCACCACGAGAGACGGCAUAGUCCAUGAGCUCCUGGAAGGUGCCUGGCCGGACGACCCUCAUCUCGAGCGGCCCGAUGGAGCCGUCAGCGACCCGGCACUGCCAUGUACACGGCGUUCAGGGCCUCCUCCAUCUCAAGGCAGCACAUGCCGAGCGUCUCCUUGCAAUGUGGCUAUGGCUUCUACCCCCUUGCCGGACAGCAUCUGCAUCAUCUCCCAGUAGAUCACGUAGCGCACUGGGAUGCUCUCGGUGUACGCCUGGCUGGUGUAGUCCAGCACGGCCGCGCCGCCAUGCCGCCGGCGGAGCAGCGGCGCGGAUGCGCGCUGCACCUCGGCCUCGUCGGUCUUGUCGGAGCCGAUGCACAGCAGCACGUUCCCGCGGCGCACGAACCGGAACUCCGGCGCGGCGUUGUGGAACCCCGUCACGCGGAGGACGUCGCCGACGCGGUACCGGUUCAGCCCGGAGUAGCUGGUGAUCACGACCUCGUACUCGUGUCCAGCCUCCACGUGCACGAGCUCCACGAGCUGGUUCUCAUCGCCUCGCGCACCGCCUCGCGCCUUGAGAUGCCGGCCACCGCCUCGCGCACCGACGUGUCGGAGACGACGCAGGGGCUUAGCUCACCGGCCUCGAUAUCGGCGGCGAGCUGCUCCAUCUGGAGAACACGUUGGCCGCCCGACGUGCUGGAGCUGGCCGAAGAAAAUGUUGUCAUUUUUUGUUUCUUUUCGAUCAAAAAUCCUUACAUUUCUUUCCUUCUUUCCUUCUAAAUUACCCAAGAGGUUAACAUGAUUGAGGAGCACAGGUCUUUGCGCGAGCUGCUAGCUGAUCCUGCCAUUCUUGUCCACCACUCGUGGAGGUCACCAUCAUGUUGCGCCUAUUCCCUCCGGUGCACUGUUGGGAUCGCUAGCUAUUCCGAGAUGAAUGAGUGAAUUUGCAGUCAGCAAAGAGGUGUAUCGCCGUUUCAGGUCGACUUCUGCAGAGGGGGCACGUUGAUUGGUUCGGCCAACCUCUUGCUUGUAGUCUGUCAGUUGUCCAUGGCCUGUUUUGAAUGACCAACCGGAAAAAUAUCUUGCAACUUGCGGGCGCCCAAAUCCGUCAAAUAAGCGUGUCAAAGUUUGUUGCCGCGAGCAAAGGCACUGAGCCGUCGGCAAUGCGCCGGAUGUACGGAUCCAGGUCCUCGUAGGUCACCAUGGGCACCUUGGCUCGGAAAGUGGCGCGGUCGGUGGCGGCGGCGAGGCUGCAGUUGCUGGCGAGGUACUCGAUCGGCGUCGGCGUUGCGGGCGAGGAUCUCGGCCAGCACGCGCUCCUGCACGGCGUCCACAUCGGCGGUCAUCUCCUCGAUGAAAUGAAGCUUCUCGGAGUCGAUCGCCCUCGCCGCACUAGUUGCCGGCGACGGUGCUGGGCUGGUCGACGCGUCGUCGUCGGUCAUUUCCGCCAUUUGAGUAAAAGGUGGAGCUGCCUGCACUGAAUGUCCGGAGAAGGACAAGAAAUGGUCUGGGAAUUGGGAUGCUGGGGUAGGAGUAGGACUAGAUUUUUUUUUUAUAGCGAAAUGGUUAGGCAUGGGACUAGAUGCCGCACUGGGACUAGUUUUUUUUAUAUUGUUAACGUGCUGGACGCACGGUGUAUUAUUUGGAUUUCCCGUUGGCGAUCCUACGUGCUCCACUUCGCCAAACACCAUGAUGACCCAAUCAACAAAUAAAGAUGCAAAUGUUGAUUGCUGCAAUCAACAAAUAAACAGGUGCAUGAUGACCCAAUCACCAUGACAAACUACACAACUUGUACUUGUACAGGCACAAGGACACAAAUUAUUGAUACACUGAUCGAUUCACAUGAACGGAAGCGUAGCUGCACGCGCUUGGGCUUUGCCAACUUCCUUCUCCUUUGGAGAGAAGCUUAGCAUUUCUGGUGCCCAGUCCGGCAAUGCCGGGCUCAAGUGGCUGGAGACGACGCGCGAGUCGAGCAGCUCCAUGAUUCGCGGCGCCGUCACGCACCGGGGGACCUUGUACUGCCCGGCGGACGCGCCACGGGAGACGGCCAAGUCCGCGAGCUCCUGGAAGGUGCCCGACCGGACGACCCGGAUCUCCAGCGGCCCGAUCGAGCAAAGCGCGACCCGGCCCUCCCGGUACACCCAGUUCAGCGCCUCCUCCAUCUCCAGGCAGCACCGAUCCAGCACGUCGCCGUCCACAGCAGCGCCGCCGCCGCUCUGGGCUCCCUUGGCCUUUAGCAGCUCCCAGUAGAUGACGUAGUGUCCCGGGAAGCUCUUGGUGCAGGCCCGGCUGGUGUAGUCCACCACGAUCGCGCCGCCAUGCCGGCGGAGCAGCGCGGCCGCGCGCUCCACCGCGCGCUGCAGGUCGGCCUGGUCGGUCUUGUCGGCGUCCACGGACAGCAACACGCCCUUGCGGCGCACGAACCGGAACCGCGGCGCCGCGUUGUGGAACCCCGUCACGCGGAGCACGUCGCCGACGCGGUACCGGUUCAGCCCCGUGUAGGUGGUGAUCACCAGCUCGUACUCGCGCCCGGCCUCCACGUGGGCGAGCUCCACGAGCUGGCUCGCGUCGCCACGCGCCUCGCCGUCGACGGGGAGGAACUCGAAGUAUGCCAUGAAGGGCAUGAUGGUGUAGGACACCUCCGACGGGUCGCACAUCGGGGAGAGGUUGACGCCGAAGGCGCACUCCGAGGACGCGUACAAGGUGGAGAAGAUCGGCAAGCCACCGCUGUAGUGAUUCAGGGUCGGGACGUACUGCGCCAUGGAGCCGGUGACGAUGGUGUCGAGGUACUUGGUGUUGGGCCAGAUGCGUGCGAUAAUGCCCGCCCCACCGCCCUCGUAGCCCUCGGCGCGGAUGAACCGGGCAAGCUCGGGGUCCGGUCGGAGGACGCCGGCGACUGCCUCGCGCACCGACGGGUCAGUGAUGCGGUCGGCGAGUGUGCCGGCGUCGAUGUCGGCGGCGAGCUGUUCCCAGUUGUCGAGAAAGAAGGUGAUGGCCCGGACGACGCCGGAUGCAAACGUGGCGCCGACGCGCACCACAUCGUGGCGAUGGCACAGGCCGCACAGCAUCUGCGCGUACAUGCUCUGGAACGCGUUCGGGCAGAGGAUGGCCGCCACGGGGCUCGUGAGGGCGCCGGAUAAAGGGAGCUUCUUGAAGUGGUCGCUCUUGAACAAGCUCGUCAGGACGGGCUGCGCGAGCAGGCCUCCCGGCGUCUUCGUCUCCAAGUUCACGAAGUGGAAGUAGAGACCCCUCCCCUUGUCGAGCCCAGGCACGUACCUGCACGCCACGCACCAUGGCCACACGAUUACUGCAGCUGCUCUGCUAGUACCAACAAAUUAAAGAGAGCUUACUGGUUGAUGACAGGCAUAGCGAGGCUGCCCAGCAGCAGGCUGCGGUGGCGCUCAUCCUCGACGGUAGGUAUCAGCUUGCGCUCGCCGCCCGACGUGCCGGAGCUGGUGAAGAACUCGGUGACGGGGUGCCCCGGCCCCGUGAGGAUGGGCGAGCGGUCGCCGUUGGCGAUGCGGCGGAUGUACGGCAGGAGGUCCUCGUACUCCACCAUGGGAACCUUGGCCCGGAAGGUGGCGCGGUCGGUGGCGCCGGCGAGGCCGCACUUGCUGGCGAGGUACUCUGUCUCGGCGUUGCGGGCGAGGAUCUCCCCCAGGACGCGCUCCUGCAUGGCGUCCGCGUUGGUGGUCACCUCCUCGAUGAAGCGAAGCUUGUCGGCGUCCAUCUCUUUCGCCGGUUGACGAGGCUGGGGUACAGGUCGCCGCGCCGGGGGUCAACUUGCCGGUCGUCGCCGCUGCCUUUGGCUGGCUCAAUCGGUCAAUCCUAGCAGCUGUGUGGUGUCUGCAGGGUUGGGAUGGAAAUCGAGGGUUGUCAUCCCACCAGGUGCAGCAGCUGUGGUUGACAUUCGGGCCUUGUUUAGUUGCCCAACUUUGAAGAUGCAAAAUCAAUGUUGCAGCAUUGUAGCACACUGUAGCGUUUUGUUUGUAUUUGCGAAUUAUUGUUCAAAUAUUGACUAAUUAAGCUCAAAAGAUUCGUCUCGCAAAGUACAAUAAAACUGUGCAAUUAGUUUUUGAUUUCGUCUACAUUUAGUACUCCAUGCAUGUACCACAAGUUUAAUAUGAUGAGGAAUCUUCUUUUUGUACCGUGUCAAAGUUAGGAGUUCGGGGGAACUAAAAAGAGUCUCGGUGCCUGUGUGGAGCACGAGAUGCUGAUGACACCAGACAAACACGCGGGGUGCUGUUGGAGUAUUGUACAGUACAACACUCAUUUUGGUCGUCUAAUGAUCGUGAUGGUGAUCAAUAAAAGGAAAAGUUGCAAAAAUCCACCCAUACAUUUAGGAGAUUUCAAAUACCCAUCCGCGCCGCGGCUCACUUUUCUUGCAGUCUGAAACCUGCAAAUUUUAUGCAUUUUCAAAUGUAGCUUGCCAUUUCAUUUGAACCAGUGCUUCACAAUUGCUCAUUCCAGCCAUCGAUGCCAAUGCCACCUAUGAAUUUAGAGCUUGCCAUUUCAUUUGUAUCCCAUCUAAUUUCAGUAGCCAUGCAAUGCAUGUUUGUCCUCCCAGUAACCUUACAGGAGGAACCAACAAUACCAAGGGUGCUGAUAGUUCAAGUAUGCCAUCGAACUACCUGCUGUUCGGAGGUGCAGGGAACUCUAGACAUGAAAUGGAUGGAAUGAAACAAGAUCAUCUACACAGCCAAGAAUCGAGAAUUGGAUAAAUUCAAGUAUGCCAUCUCUUAUGCCACGAAUGAAGGUUCACUCAUUCACAUCAGAGGGUAAGCUGAAGCAACCGAAUAUUUAUGAUUUUGGGGAAAGUAUGCCAUCGCUGCAUGUUGGUGUUAGCUCUAGUAGAUUCAAUUUUGAUGGUCUUCACAAUUCCAUGACCAAAGCAGAACAAUUCUGAAUGGCAUGUGUGCAGAAGGAGCUGGAAGGUUACUGAACUGAAUGUCUGAAUCAUGCAGGGGAGAAUAUGGUUGCAGUACAAGUGCAGGAAACGGUUCGGCAAACAUGUCCAAUCAGAGAAACCAUCGACUGGUUCAGAACUUCAGAUAUGACGGCCUUCUAAUUUCUAAAUGGUUGGAAGCCGGCAAUCCGAUCCAUGUUCGUCUAGAGAAAGGAGCUUCACCCCCACCGCCACAGCCACAGGAAGGAAUUUUCUGGACGAAAUUUGGAGAAAAGAAAAACAAACAGAAAAGAUCAAAAGUCGGAUUCGCAGCUGGCGUCGGCAAAAGUCGGAUUCCCGCCACGCGCCUCUGGCCUAUAAAUCCAUCCUUCUCUUCUGCCGCUCCAUCCAUCCAUCCUUCUCUUCCGCCGCUCCCCUUCCGAUCCGCGUCGUGGAGAUGGCGGCGCUGGGCCCGGCGAUCUUCUCCCGCGGCUUCCGCUUCAACCCGACGCCCCUCGAGGCCGCCACCUACUACCUCCCUCGCCUCGUCGCCGGCGCGCCGCUGCACGAGGCCGUGCGCCCCAUCGUCAACCACGCCGACGUCUACGGCUGCGAGCCCGCCGACCUCGCCCGCCAGUUCUGCCCGCUGCCCAGGACCGGGCACCGAUUCUUCUUCACCUACUGCAAGCUGCAGCAGCCGCAGAGGGCGGGGAAGGCCAGCAGGGCCACGCGCGCCGCCGGCUCCGGAUCGUGGCACUCGCAGAGCGUCAAGGACGUCGUGGACCACGCCGGUGUCAAGGUCGUCGAGAUCAGGAAGCUCCGGUACAAGAAGGGCGGCGAGUACUCGGACUGGCUCAUGGACGAGUACUCGUGCUGCUUGGAGGACGCCGUCGCCGGCGACAGGCAGUUCGUGCUCUGCAACAUCUACGUGUCCCCCAGGGCCGACCAAGGCUCCGCGGAGCGCCAAGAAUCCGCCGCCUUCUUCGCUCCACCUGCGCCUGCGCCUGCGCCCGUCAUGAUCACGCAGGCGGCGGCACCCAAGAGGCCAGCGCCGCAGAGUGCCGAGUCGCCGUGCCCCAAGCGGAUGCGGGGUGCCGUCACCCCAAUGCCUCUGGUCGUGCAGCCGGCGGGCUAUUGCACGGCGUCCUUCGCGCCACCACUGCCGUACGUGCCUCACAUCGCCGCUUCAGCAAAGCCUCAGCCUCCGCCGCCGCCAAUUCCGACCCGUCUUGCAGCACCGCCGCCGAGUCGCUCGCCGGCGCCCACACCACUGCAGCCGCGUUCGCUACCUAAGCAGCAGGCGCCGCCGCCAACUCUCCCGGUUGUACGUGCCUGCCACAUGCCAGUGGAAGCACCGGCACGUCACUGCCAGCCGCCUAAGCCGUCCGUGCAGAGGAAGCAGAGCACACGUGAUCCGUUUGAAGCCGCUGAGCUGGGAGACGAAGCGGAGGAGGAAAGGGUGGCAGCGCCUGAUCCCAAGGAGUCCCCUGCAGCGCUUGUUGAUCAAGAUGACGACUGGGCCGAGUUGGAAAAGUGCAUGGACGACGCCGUGCCAACAGCCGAGGGCUCAACCAUGACUGAGGAUGAGAUGGACCAGCACUUAUCCUCGUUGUUUGAGGAGGAAGAGAUCCCGGAUGCAAUUGCAGCACCUGAUCCGGAGUCCAAGGGAUCCAAAUCGGCGCUUCAAGAUGACUUGGACUUGCACUGGACGACGUCUUACGAGUUACGACGAUCGAGUUCAACAAUGGCUGUUGACGAGCUUGCCUGGACAUGAAGCAGCAGUAGCAGCAGCGGAAGAGCUCCACACAGAAGAAGGCUUCCCGAUCACGUCUACGUGGUAGGAAUGUAGGAUCGUAGCACAUGUAGAAUUUUUCUGUGGAUGGAAUUUUAUAUGCCAUCCUGAAUGUAAAUGUUGCAUGUUGAUGAGUUUGUUAGGGAAUAAUCCUCCUGUCCAAGACCUAAUGUAUGCCAUGACAUUAUCACUGUCAGUCUCAACACACUUGACAUUAUCACUGUCAGUCUCAACAGUAGUAUAAUGGCCGCCAAUUUAGUUUCUGUUGUCCCAUGUUGUCUCCUGAUUUUUCUAAUUUUUGUACCCUCAUUCAAUGUGCUUGAUUACUGUGGCAAGUAAAAUCCGACACCCAAGGAACCUUCAUGCGAUGUGUUACAUGGUAAAACAAUAGGCACAAAAAACAACAGGAGCACGUUCAAUUUUGCACCUGUUUUAGUGAAACUGAUAUCUGACGAUGAAGAUAUAAGCCUUUGACAAUAUUUAAGAAUGCAUUUCUUAAGAAAGACAACAUACAUGUCUAGCAUGAUUUACAGAUGCAGGGUUGCAGUCAUCCACUCCCCGGUAUCUAAACGAGUAUAGAUGUAUCAUCGACUGAUAAUUUGCUGUUGUGAUUCAAAAUCAGACACCAUUAGUUACAUUAUCAGCACUCCCUCUAACAUCUCAUCCCAUAACUAGUACUCCCUCUAUUCCAAAUUACAGGUUGUUUUGGCUUUUCUAGAUUCAUAGAUGUUUGUAUGCACCUAAAUAUAAUAUACGUCUAGAUGUAUAUAUAAACAUCUAUGCACUAAAAAAUCAAAACGACCUGCAAUUUGGAACGAAGUAAAAUGAACCAACUGAAACCACCUCCGCAUCCCAUGGCAUUCCACACUGCAAUCACACUGAAGAACUCCAGACCACCGUAUCCUCUCAGAUUUGUUACAGAAUGAUGGGGAACAGCCCACCAACAGCGAUCUGAGUGUCCUUGGUCACCGGGUAAGAUACUGGCAGUGAGAAGAAGACGGUGAUGGUUGCCAGUUGCCUAGGCAGUGUAGACUGCUGUUGUCUUGCGACCGAUGCCAUUGCUUCUAAUGCGACGAGGCUGCCCAGAGACUGCAUUUGGAUUGGAAACAAUGCGAGUCAUGCGUUGAUCAAAAUGCUGCUAAAGUGGGAAUGAACUGAAAGCUCAUUUUGAAGGGUAACAGCGGAAUGAUUCAUGCGUUGAUGAAAUGCUUCAAACCUUGGGAUGAACUGUAAGCUUAUUUUGACGGCUAGAAGUAGGAUGGUUCAUUUCAUUUCUGAACUGUAAGCUCGUCGAGGAGGACGGUGCUGGCCGUCAGGUUGCCGUGCACGAUGCUCAUGUCGUCUGGAGGUAGGCUUGGCCACGGGCUGUCAUCCGCGUCGCUCAGUCCACCGGCGUGUUCGGAGCGCGAGCUGCAGCAAUGCCAUUCAUCACAGUACACAAGUUCAGAGUUUCGGUUCCACACGCGUCAAAAAGUGCAGAGUUUCAGUUCACGGGGACUCUAAGAAGUGGAAGGAAUGACUAGCUGGCAGCAAAUUUAUCAAGAGAUUUCGUAGAAUCGAGUUAAGUAAUGUUGAUAAUGCAGUGCUGAAUGUCUAAUCCAUCAAUUGUUAGGCCCAGUUGUCAGGAAACUCUGUCAGACACAAUUGUUGCAGGGUUUCACUUCAAAAGGUACUGAAUACUGAAAGACGAUGGGUUAGGAAUAAAAUUAUCAACAGAUUUGAAGUAACAAAGUUUAAUAAUGCAGAAAAGUUAUUGCUGUCGAAACAAGAAAUCCGUUUACUAGUACAGCUAAUCCUAAUCCAUAACUUGUUCGAACAAAAAUUGCACAAGGUGUCAGUUUCUUUCCACUGAACCUAACAUAAGUAGCUCUUGUUCAUUCUAUUGAACUUUUCAGGCAACUGCAGAGUUUUUAUUUUUAUUUACAAAAAGAAACUACAGAGACAAUUUACGGAGGUGUUAGUUUGCUUUAACUGAACGUAACACGACAAUUUGUUCUCAAUAGUUAGCGUUUUCUGCAUUGGCCAUGAACAGAGAAGCUGUGAAUUAACGCAUGAUUCUUCAGAUGCUAAGGGUAUGAACCGACACAGAGGCAAGCCCGGCGAGGGAAUCCGACUUGAAAACGGGAAAGCAAAACCGGAAAUUCAAAGUCUGGGCACACAUCUGGCGAUUUUUCGGGAGGAAACUUUGGAAACCAAAACCGGAAAUUCAAAGUCGGACACACAGCUGGCGCCGGCGGGAAUCCGACCUCCACUCGACCACUCCCGUCCCGCAGCGCGCCGCUGCACGACGCCGUCCGCCCCGUCGUGCACCACGCCGACGUCUACGCCUGCGAGCCCGGUGACCUUGCCGCCCAGUUCCGGCCGCUGCCCAAGACGGGAGACCGCUACUUCUUCACCUCCUGCAAGAAGGGCGCGCGCGUCGCCGGGCCCGGCUCCUGGAACCUGCAGAGCACCAAGGCCGUCAAGGGCGGCGCGGAUCAGGCCGAGGUCGUCGGCGAGAUCAAGAAGUUCCGGUACAAGAAGUGCGGCGUGUUCACGGACUGUCUCAUGGACGAGUUCUCCACGUGCUGCUCGGAGGAGCCCGCCGCCGGCGACAGGCAGUUCGUGCUCUGCAAGAUCUACGUGUCCCCCAAGGCUGCUAAGAACUCGGCCGAGCGCCAAGAAUCUGCGGCGUUCUUCGCGCAGCCUGCGCCGCUGCCCGCCGUCGUCAUGACGCAGGCGGCGCCCAAGAGGCCGGCGCCGCCGCAGGUUUCCGAGCCGCCGUGCCCCAAGAGGAUGCGGGGUGCCGUCGCCCCGACCCCUCCGGUCGUUUAGCUGGCCGGUUGCACGUCAUACUUCGCGCCACCGCGGUCGUACGUGCUUCACACCACCGCUUCAGCUCAGCCUCCGCCGCCAUUUCCGACCUUUGCAGCGCCGCCGAGUCACUCGCCAGCAAUCGCACCACCGUGUCUACUUGCGCAGAUGCCGCCGCCGAUUCCCCUUCCCCCAAUGUUAAGUGCCUACCACAUGCCAGUGCAAGCACCGGCGCACCAGUACCGGCCUCAGCCGCCCGUGCAGACGAAGCAGAGCAUGCGCGAUCCGUUACGUGUCGACAGCCGAAGCAGAGCAAGCGGCUGCCAACUCUGAGAGCUCAACGAUGGCUGACGGCGCGCCUGAUCCGGCGUCCAAGGAGUCCCCUGCUGCGCUUCAUGAAGGUUUCGGCAUCGAUCACAUCAUGUCGCUUCCAGAUGCCGCCUUCGAGGAGUGCCUCAAGUCGCUUCCUGUCGACAUCGAAGAGUCUUUCAAGGAGCUCCAGGAAGCGAUCCAGGUUUCAUAAGAAGACUUUUCUUGCUUAGACAUGCAAGAGCAGUAGCAGCAGCGGAAGAGCUCGCUCCAUACAGUCACAGAUUCCAGAUCAGGAAUAGGAUGGCAACACUUGUAAAUCUUUCUGCGGAUGAAACUAAUGUUAUCCUUUCUGAAUGUGACAACGUUGUGUGUUUAAUUCAAUUUGGGCAGUCUUGUGGUAGUACAAGAGCUGCUUGCUGUUAUGGUUUGCAAGCGAUGAUUCGAAAUUUGUUUCUGCGGAUCAAGGUCUUGCCAAGUUGUCCAAUCUGUGUUCAUUAGUGUUAUUUACCAUGACAAGAAAAACCUGCAAAACCUCCAAGAACACUACACGAAGCACCCUUAAAGUGCCGCAUAAUAAUGAGACAAUAUAUGGUUCAAAUUUCAGAAAGCACACAGACCAGCACUGUAAACUAGUACAAGUGCUGCUUGUUGUUUGAUGCAUUUUUAUAUGUGCUGACAAGCUAUAGUUCCAAAUUGUUUAAAUGGAUCCAUGUCUUUCCAAGUUCACUUUCCAUCUCUGUUCAUCACUGGAUAUCUCAUGCAUUUUGAGACAACAUAUGGCAUCAACGUCUCAUGCAUAUGUUGACAAGUACAAGCUGCAAAAGCGUUGAAGGGUAAAAUCACCAGAACCACCUCAUCAAGAACCCUAAAAGCACUGCAUUUUGAGACAACAGAUGGUACCAAAAGCACCCAUACGUAUAACAGCAUUCACCAAGAGCCAGUUCAUGAUCACUGGAUAUAUCAUUAAGAAGAUACAGAUCUUUGCCAUUUCUCAUCCAAGAAUGCAUUUCUGCAGAACCGAAUACUCAGACAAAAGAAAGACAACAUGCAUGCCCACAAUGACUCUUUCGAUUUUUAAUACAUGAUUAUUAUAGGGAAGCACAGUACAACUGUAACAGUCAUCGAACCCCUAACACCUUAACUAGGACCUGACAAAUACUAAACUCAGCACAACAACCAUGGCAUCUAUAGAUCAGGCAUACCAACCCCAGCUUUCUCAUCGUAGGUCUUCUCCAGCACAAGCUCAAUUGGUGUAUCCUUUGGGCCAGCUGUGUGAUUGGAAGGAAACAAUCAGAGCAACUUCUCAUCAACAAAUGUGCACGAGAGACAUACCAGAUAGCCAAAGAAUGUAUUUGAGACGACAAAAAAGAGUAUAUGGCAAAAUGUUUAAUGAACCUGUUUACUACUGAUUUGACCUACUUAUUCGUUCACUUAUGCAACUAAUAUCAUCUCUGGAGUUAAAUCAUAACUGGUGCUCAAAACAGAACAAUAUCAGAGUCUAUUUGCCCCAUACUCUGUUGAACUACAAUUCUCCUUCCAGCACAGAGAAGGUACCCAAUAUGUAUCGCAUCUCAACAACACCAGAGUGCUGAAAAAUUCUAAACAAACAGAUGGGAGUCGAGAAAUGGAGAAAACACUAGAUGCAGCCAGUUAAUAUCAGUAUUAAGUACUGCAGCAUAAGAAGUGCUAAUUAGUUCACACCUUUCUUUAGGUAAUUAAUGUUGUACUGAAAGGCACCAUAAAGUGAGAAUACAAGAUGUGUUUAUGAGACAUGCAUGCUGUGGAUCGCCAUAUAAUGAGUGUUAAAAGAAAAUUAUGAGACAUACGUGAUGUGGGUCUCGGCUUUUUUCUCUCCUUCAGAAUUUCUGGCCGGGGUAUCACAGCACCAGAUGCAUUCAUUCCUCUGGCGAAUCUGACUUUGGUCCCAUCUUCCAAAUACUUAUAUCCAAUUUUACAUGGUUUCCUGUGGUAAAUAUCGUGUUGACAAAUGAUUUUAUAAUGAGAAGUUAAUAAAAGCAAUAUCUCUGUAGGUACUAAAACAUGGUCAGGUAUCAUAUCCAUACCCAGUCACAGGAUCAACUACUUGGAUAUUCGAAACAUGAAGUGGAGCUUCUAUUGAGAAAAUACCACCUGUGUGCCCUUCCCCUUGCUUAAUGUGUUUCUUAACCUGAAAUGAUGAAAGCACAACUAUCUAUGUAAUUCCUAGUGCGCAAGAGGACACGAAAAGGCACAAGACAAUGAAACCAUGUUACUUGCUGGUUGCAGUUAACAGUACCCAGAAUAAAUAAACACCGAGUGUGCACCAAAUUUUAAGUAAAUACAUAAUGAUUUUAGACAGAUGAGAAAAACUGCAUAUUUUUUUGUUCCUGUCUGGUAUUCAACACAGCAGAUUCUGCAAAACAAAGCCCUCAGCUACCACAUUAUAACUAGUUGAGUUAUUGAACAUCUAUUGGUCAUGAACUUAUGGUCUUAUUGCAUGUUAAUUCAGCUACAAAUUCAGAUGGUCUUACGCCAGUAUGUAACUGUUGAUAUGGUAGGCAGAGUGGCAGACAUGUCCCAAAGAAAAACAGUAAAGCAUGUAAAGAGGCAUUGCAGUAUAUGCAACAUGAUAAUGAUUUGCUAUACUGAAAGAAAUUAUGCUUGACAAAACAUAUAAACAGGAGAUAUUGGUAUGCUUGUUCCCCUUGAGUGUCACUGCUAUUCUUUCGUUUAACCAAUUUGUAAAGCUAAUGGCCAACAUCCACCUAUAGAUAAAUGAAUGCGCACAACUACUUUCUUUGCGCCAUAAUGGAACUGUGGCAGUUUGGAGGAAGAGCUACAUUAUUCACAAGUAAAACUCAUGUUAUCAGCCUCAAAGCAGCACAACAAGGACAAAAACUGGGCAUCAUCUAACUACUAACGUCACUUUUUUCAACCAAGAGCACAGUACCAACACUAGCUUGAACUCUGAAGUCUGAAGAAUUUACAUAAAAUUUACGACGGGCCACCUUUCAACUAUAAUGGUUUGGGAAUUUGGACGGGACGGAACGGAUAGAGCACAAUGUUAUCUAGGGGGCCUUAAUUGAAUAGACACGGCCAGUCUGCAAAAACCUAAAUACCAAUUAUACUAAGUAACUGUGUUGAGUCCAAUUUAACCCACAGUUGUAGGAUGCCACACAUAUCUUCUAAACUGAUUCCACGCCCGAGUUAAUUAGCUGGGGAAAGAGCGUGGAACAACAAAUUACCAAGUUCUUGCCCUCGACGAUGACGCGAUUCUGGGACCGAAUGACCCGCUUGAUGAGCCCGGUCUCCCCCUUGUCCUUGCCUCUGAUGAUCAUCACCUGGCAGUGAAAAAAAAAGGAGAAUGGGAGAUCUCGCAAUGAGAAGAUAGUAGGACUGAAAAGACUAACUGGGGGAUGGGCUGCAGAACGAGAGAGAUUACGUUGUCACCGCGGAGUAUCUUCCAGUGCCUGAUGAGCUUCUCCGCAGCCUUCCACCCCAUCUUUCCUUGAAGCCGCCUCCUCUCUCCCGCGGGUUUGGGGCUGCGGCGGCCGGUGACGGAGGCGGCGGCCGGCGAGGGAUGGAAGAAGAGCGAGUGGCGGCGCGGGGCGCUGGGGCUGACUGCUGAGAGCGUGAUUGGGCCGGGCUAGUGAAGAGGAAGCUUGGGCUGCUGCUGCUGUUUGGGAAGGAUUGCCUGGCCUGCUAUCCUUGGGCUAAGCCCAAAUUGACUUCAGUCCACACGUUUGACAAAUUUCGCCUAUGCUACAAUUUUACUUGCAAAUUAAAGUUUGCAAAAAUGCUGCAUCUUUUAUGAACUUAGAAGAUAGUGAUACCCAUAAUUUUCAGAAUUAAAUUCCAAAGUGGUCAUAUCAAAUCCCAUCUGUGUACAAAGGUGUAUUAACACAAAAGGUGAUUUAGGACAGAGAAAAGGCCCAGCUUCAGUAACAAAAGAGAAGGCCGACAGCUACGCUCCUCUUUUUCCAAAUGCUUUAGAACAUCUAUGUUUUUUCAAGCAUCAUCCAGCACCAUUACUCAACUGCUUGCGGUUUGACGUAGUCGGUGAAAAACAAGUUGUUUCCUAGCACUUCGAAAAUAUAGCCGCAUUGACGCCACUGAAAAAAAAAACAGUCUAUGUCAGACUACCGGACCUCAUUGCAAGCGAGUUUAGAAUUACGCAUUCCUACGCUUGGAUUCUUCUCUUCUCACUGUGCAGCUCUGAACCCCAGGUCCGAGUGUGUCGAUGCUCCGUCUCUCUUCAUAACAAGUGUUCUUCUCCGAAUCCCAAAAAGUUUGCUUCGACGUCGGUUACACUGUACUAGACGGUGGCUAAAGUCUCUCCAUUUGAGUCUGAUCUCAUCAUCCUCGGGUCCUACACUAGAACAGGUCAACAGCUGGCAGUAAAUUCAGAAUCAGGCCCUUCUGUCUGGAGUUUACAGCAAUCCAGCCAUUUCUAUCGAGAUGUUGAAUGGAACUGCCGUGUGAUCACAAGCAGUACCAGUGUCUCGUACAAUAAAAUUAUUGGCUUUAUACGGAGAUCUUUAAAUGGAAUUCCCCUUGGAGAUGCCAGAUGUGUAAAUGGAAACUGUUGACAAAUUCUUCACCAUUGCUGAAGAUCUCCGAGUUUCAAGCAACUUCGUCAACAGUUGAAGCACAGCGUACGUAAAGAACUCCAUGGUCCCAUCCCGUGCACCGACGACGAUCGACCAUGCGCACCAGCUUCCCUACUCCCAGUUUCCAAGCUUAAAUGUCAACGAGCGCAUCACUAAGCUACUAUUCAUAGCUCUGCUCUGCACCAAGCAGCUUCACCAAACUCCCCGCUCAAAGCCACAUCCAGUUCCCCAUGGGCGCCGGCGACGACACCGCGCCGGUGGCCAAGGCCGCCAUGGAGGUGUCCUCGUCGUCGACGUCUACCUCCACGGCGCGAGCGCCUUCGCCAGAGCCGCCGCCGUCGGUGCUCAGGUCCGUGAUGCUGUCGUACGCGUACGUGGGCAUCUGGAUCAGCCUCAGCUUCUCGGUGAUCGUGUACAACAAGUACAUCCUGGACCCCAAGAUGUACGGCUGGCCCUUCCCCAUCUCGCUCACCAUGAUCCACAUGGCCUUCUGCGCCACCCUCGCCGCGGCGCUCGUCCGCGUGCUCCGCGUCGUCGACGUGCCCACCUCGCCGCCCAUGACGCCGCGCCUCUACGCCGCCUCCGUCGUCCCCAUCGGCGCGCUCUACGCGCUCUCGCUCUGGUUCUCCAACUCCGCCUACAUUUACCUCUCCGUCUCCUUCAUCCAGAUGCUUAAGGCGCUCAUGCCCGUCGCCGUCUACUCCCUCGCCGUCGCCUUCCGCACCGACUCCUUCCGCCGCGCCUCCAUGCUCAACAUGCUCGGGAUCUCCGCUGGCGUCGCCGUCGCCGCGUACGGGGAGGCCCGCUUCGACGUGUUCGGCGUCACGCUCCAGCUCGCCGCCGUCGCCGCCGAGGCCACGCGGCUCGUGCUCAUCCAGAUCCUGCUCACCUCCAGGGGCAUGUCCCUCAACCCCAUCACCUCGCUCUACUACAUCGCGCCCUGCUGCCUCGCCUUCCUCACCGUGCCGUGGUACGCCGUCGAGCUGCCCAGGCUGCGCGCCGCCGCGGCGUCGGCGGCGGGGCUCGCGCGCCCCGACGUGUUCGUGUUCGGGACCAACUCGCUCUGCGCCUUCGCGCUGAACCUGGCCGUGUUCCUGCUGGUGGGGAAGACGUCGGCGCUGACCAUGAACGUGGCCGGUGUCGUCAAGGACUGGCUGCUCAUCGCCUUCUCGUGGACGGUGAUCAAGGACACCGUCACGCCCAUCAACCUCGUCGGCUACGGCAUCGCCUUCCUCGGCGUCGCCUACUACAACCAUGCCAAGCUGCAGGGGCUCAAGGCCAAGGAGGCCGAGAGGAAGGCGGCAGCCACAGCGGUGCCCAAGCCGGAUGACGCGGAGGCGGCCACGCGGCUGCUGCCGGAGAAGGACGGCAGCGGCGGUGACCACAAAAACUGAAACGCAUUCACUGAAAAAUGAUUCUGUUGUACACUGCAUUUUAUUCAUCUCAGCUAUAGGACGUCUGAAACUUCGAUUUAGUUCAUGGUCGAUUUAUGCUGUUUAAGUUUUGCGGUUCUUAAGUACAGGAAAUGCAAAGGAUAAAUGAUUCGGAAGUAUGUUUGUUUCUUGUUAGCAUUUGAUAUCUUUUAUUUCAUAGAAUCAUAUCAUUUAGAUGAUACAUGUAUCAUCGAACUGUUGGUUACUACCAAACUAGUCUGGCGGUCUGGAUGCCUUCUCGUCAUGAAAAGAAUGGCUAUUGUUGUGCUACAAGUCACAGGGUACAAAAUCUUUAGGUUUACUCAAAGUGGCACCAGCUGAAAAGGAACAAAAAGAUACAGCAUCUAAACGUGUUACAGUGAAGUGAUGCAUUGUGAGUUGCUAGGCAGGCAGGUAAGCCGUCCCUAACUAUAUGCUCCCAGUCGACCAAUCACUCAGGUUCCUUCAUCUUCGCUCAAAGGCUCAAAGCUCACCCGAGGAGAGCCAAAAAAUGGCCUAAAAUAUUAUGCAUAUGGUUCGGUUGAAAUGGACUUUUCUGUUCCAUAAUUCCAUGUCCCUUCUUUUAAGUUUUUUUUUUGUUUUGAAACACCAUACGUUUUAAGUUAGGAGCAUGAAUUCUGACAGUUCAUCUAGUGUGGUGUCUGAAUUUCUGAAAGCGUGAACUCGUUGGCGAUCAGAUUCAAUCUUUUUACGUUCUGCGAUUCUUCAAUUCAUGGAAUGCAAGAGACCGGCUUUUUGGGCAGCGGUGGGAGGAGAGCAGCUGCAGCCCCUUGCCUUUCGCAGCCCGCGCGCCUCGGAGGCGCCGCACUCCGGCCGCCGUGCCGCCCCUCCGGAUCCCUCCGCGCCGCCGCGUCCCUCCGUGGCUGCACAGCCCCUCCGCUUCUCUGCACGGCCCCCCUCCGCUUGGUGUGCCGGCGUGUCGCGCCGCGGCUGGGCGGGAAGGCCCAGGCGGAGCAGCAGAAGCAGAGGCUGUAGAGUUGACCAGGAGCCUCAAUGACCCCACAACCAACGGCGGCGGGCUGCCAGAGACGGAUCGGACGGCGCACGCGUCAGGGACGGAAACGAAACGAAUUAGGCAACCGAGGGGGCGGAGUGCAAAACUGAGCCUCGCUCGACUUGGGUUCCGUCCUCGUCCCAUUGCCGCCGCAUUGCGUCGUUCUCCUCCGGCUAGGGUAGUUUCUCCGUUGGCUUUCCGAUCUCCAAGCUUGCCGCGGGCAGCUUCGGAUCACUCUGAGGUAAGAACUCGAGUCCCUCCGAUCAAAGCCCACCCGUUUGUUGCUGUCCGAUUAGCUUCUGUCCUUGUUUGCAAGUGAUAUUGUGCUGCGGGGAGCGGGAGAAAUUAGGGUGUGUCAGAAUCUCUGCUUUCCACUAGAUUCAGUUACUUGAUUGCGAAACGUUAGAGUGCUGAUUCGCGUUCCCCAUUGAACGUUGAUCCAAUGAUCCCUCUCCCGACGAUCCCAUCCUCCAAGGGGCCAAGCCGCUAAGGGGAGCACACUAGAUAUUGCUAAUCAUGUACUAGAUGCCUAGAUACAUAGGAGGCAGCCUUUAAAUUCUAAUCAGAAAGCAAGGGGAGCACACUAGAUGUUCCACCCCUUUUUUUUAAGUUCUGUCAGUACUAGUGGCUCUAUCCUGUUUCUUAUGAAAACACUAGAUUCAGUCCAGCUUCAUACCUACAGAAUGGCACAUGUAAUUUGCUGGUGGAUGGCUUAUAUUUUUUUAAUCAUACUUGUCUUCUAUGCAAGGACAAGGUUGAUCUUAACAUAUUUGGGCAACAUUUUUUUGUUGACCCAAAUGGGCAACAUAUUUUAGAUACAAUCACAUAACUAAGCUUUCAGUUAGAUCUGAGGAGCAAUGAUGGUUUAGAGACUGUAUUGUCUAUGCUCAGAAGGAAAUUUUGUCCAUCAUAUGACUCAGUGACUGGUACAUCUAUCGGCAACACAUGAGUUAUUUCAGAAUGCAUAAAGUAAAAUUUUAAGACAAUAAGUAGUUAAUGUCUUGUAUGUUAGGGCCAAGCUUGAAGCAGUAUUAACUUUGUUCAGUUGUAUAAUGUUUUGAUUCUUUUGUUCAGUCUUCAGAGGGUAUUUAUCUCCAUGUUCUCCAUGUUUACUGUUUAGUCACUCUUAUUCUUAACUGCUUAGCUAUUUACUUGGGUUCAGAUUUUAUUUUAGAUUCACACAUUAUGUACAUUGUUCUCUAAUUCUUAUUUUGUUUUUUUUCCUGUUCCUUUUCCUACCCUUCCAUUCAUUUAAUGGAAUAUUGAUACCUUGCAAUUACACCAGCCCGCUCAAUUAUACUUCAGAUAGCAUCUUCUUUGCCUGUCCUCUUUAACAUACUCUUGUUGACGGUGCUAUCAUAUUCUUGAUAACCUUCCGUACUGCCUAUCUGAGGAUACUGCUAUUUCUGCAUUUGUUCCUCAACAGUCACUUGCUUUGUGGUUCCAUUUUCCAUUUGGAUACCCAUGGCUGAAUCCAUUUCGAGAUUAUUACAUAUAUUUUGUUCUAGCUGUUUCUGUUGUUUUUUCCCUAUCCAUUCAUCAUCACUUUGCUCCCCCAAUAUUGUUGGUUCCUGUGCUCUUUCCAAAGUUUUCUUGAAACUUUGAGCUUUGAAAGAUGCCGAGGAGUACAGAAAAUGCUCUCAGACAAGAAGACCAUUUGGAGUUCGAUGAUCCUGAUGAGGUAGAUGAAGAGGAAGUUGAGUAUGAAGAAAUUGAGGAGGAGGUUGAGUAUGAAGAGGUAGAGGAGGAUGAGGAGGAAGAGGAGGAGGAAAAAUCUGAAGUUGUGUGUGAAGUUGAUGCUAAGCAUGAGAGUAAAAUGGUAGAUCAGAAGGAUGAGGAAGAAAAAGAGAAGCAUGCUGAGCUUCUUGCUCUUCCUCCUCAUGGAUCUGAAGUGUAUGUUGGGGGCAUCUCAGAUGUAUCUUCUGAAGAUCUCAAAAAACUAUUUGAGUCGGUUGGAGAAGUUGUGGAAGUGAGUACUGCCUACUUUCUAUGGGUUAGCUUCUGCAUUUGUCUUCUUCUGCUAUUCAGAGUCUGUUUUUCCUGCAGGUGCGAAUACGAGGAAAGGGGGAUAACAAGCUGUAUGCUUUUGUUAAUUUCAGAACUAAAGAACUGGCUUUAAAGGCCAUCCAAAAGCUGAACAAUAAAGACCUAAAGGUUUGUCUUCACUUGAACUCAGAGUCAAUCUUCAUGUUAGUCCACCAGUGAUGCAAACUUUAAGUUUUUAUACUAUCAGUUUGCAAACUUUCUUUACUGCUGCAAUCUUCAUGUUAGUUCGCAACUUUUUUACAAACUUUUUAGACUGAACUCAGAGUCAAUCUUCACUGGUGGAUGCAAACUUUUUAUAUUAUCUUCAUGUUAGUUCACCAGUGAUUUAUUUACAUUUAGCGAAGUACAAGGUUAUAUGAUUACAAUUACAUCUGCUUGCUAUUUUUAAAAAAGUUUGCAGCAGUCCCACUGUCGAGUUUAAAAUACAAAACCUUGUGAUUAAUUGCAAACCCCUGUGUUCAGUCAUACUUUUAGAAAUCAGAAUUGUGGAUGGCAGUAUAUUAUGUUUUCAACAAUAAUUUAUUGGGGGUCCUUUCUAAAGUGUUUCCGGCACCAUAUUAUACAAACCUGGUUUUGCAACCCAAACGACGUAUGAAUACACACUAGUACUUUCUGAAUCCUUGUUGCACCUGAUUAACUCAUAUAUCUUGUAUAUUGAUACGAAAUAUACCAUAUUAUUAUGGUUCUUGUAACAGGGAAAGAAGAUAAAGGUUUCUUCGUCCCAGGCAAAGAACAGGCUAUUUAUUGGGAAUAUACCCCAAGAUUGGACACAGGAUGAUUUCAAAAAUGCAGUGGAAGAAGUUGGUCCUGGAGUUUUAAAAGUCAAUCUCCCGAAGGUAUGGAUACAAUACUAUGAUAGUUCAAUAACUUCAGCAUGCAUCAUUACAGUUGUUUUACACUGAAUGUAUCUUUGUCAUAGGCACCACGUUCAGAUUGCCACAAGGGCUAUGGCUUUAUUGAAUACUACAACCAGGCAUGUGCAGAGUAUGCCAGGCAGAAGAUGUCUACCCCAGAAUUCAAACUAGAUACAAAUGCUCCUACUGUCAAUUGGGCAGAUACUAAGAAUAGUGGUGAAUCUGCCUCUACUGCGAAGCAGGUCCUUUCGAGUUUUGAGCACCACAUGACAAAAUAUUACUUCAAAAUGUUUUCUUCUAUAAUGAUGUUGUGUAUGGAUGUGCAUUUUUUGUCUUCAGGUUAAAUCUCUUUAUGUCAAAAACCUGCCCAAGACUGUUACUGAAGAGCAGCUGAGAACGCUGUUUGAGCACCUUGGAGAAAUUACAAAAGUUGUUCUUCCUCCUGCAAAAGCUGGUCAUGAAAAUCGGUACGGUUUUGUUCACUUUAAGGAACGGUACAUGGCUAUUAAGGCUCUGAAGAACACCGAGAGAUAUGAACUUGAUGGUGAGUUUUCUUCUCUAACAUCCUUCUAUAGCUGGUCAAUUUUGCUUCAUGUAUCCAAAAGGUCAUGGGUUAUUUCUCUAUCAGGUCAGCUACUGGAUUGUUCACUUGCAAAAGCAGACAAGAAGGAUGAUACUAUAUCAGUACCUAAUACAAAAGCAGGUCCAUUGCUGCCAAGUUAUACCCCACUUGGAUAUGGACUGUCGGGGGCCUAUAAUCCACUUGGAAAUGGACUGGCAGGCGCUUAUAAUCCACUUGGAAAUGGACUGGCAGGCGCUUAUAAUCCACUUGGAAAUGGACUGGCAGGUGCUUAUAAUCGACUUGGAAAUGGAUUGGCAGGUGCUUAUAAUCGACUUGGAAAUGGAUUGGCUGGUGCUUAUGGUGUGCUUCCUGCUCCUGCUGCACAGGUACAUGCCAUCAUCUGCUAUGACUGGCCGCUGCAUGAGAUAGAUUACAUAUACAAGAGGUGAUAGCCUUCUAACUGUUGUGUAUGCUUGGCAUUCUUUGCACCUCUGCAGCCAAUUUUGUAUGCUCCAGGUGCUCCUUCAGGUUCAACAAUGAUCCCAAUGGUUCUACCAGAUGGCCGUCUUGUAUAUGUGUAAGUAUUCGCUCUAUCCUAAGUAUUCUUCUACAAAGGUCAUACAUCAUACAUUCAACUGAACUAAUGCAAUUCCAACUCCUACUGCAUCUGGAUUACAUUGUUGUCUUGUAAUGUUACUUGUUGCCGCAAAUCCAUUGUUGAAACACUUGUCAGCCAGUUCAUACAUUAGGUUACAGAGAAGAAACGGUUUUGAUCAAUGUGCACAUAACAUCCAUUUUUUCAGUACAUGAUAAAAGUAGUGCUUGAGAGCCCCUGUGUUAAAACACAUGUAAUUUGUUUAGUAUUUGCAGCUCUUGAAUUUGACAACAUGCAUAGACCUGGAGUAUUUAAAUGAAAAGAGUCUCUAUUGUAGAAUAAAGUUAUUUUGUAAAAUUUGCAAUGGUCCAAUAAUGUGAUGAAAUGAGAUUGUUAUAUUAUAUCCUAACAUAACCCUUUAUUUUGUUCCUUCACCUUCCAUAUUAAGAGCAGCCCUUUGAACUGCUGCAGUGAUAAGUCCAUUGUCGAUUCAUAGUUUCCUUGGUGUUUGGCAGACCACAGGCUGCAGGGCAGCAAACUGUGCAUGUGGCUUCGCCUCCAUCACUGCAAGGUGGUCAUCGUUAUGGUGGUAGCAGUGGUGGUGGAUCCGGCUCUGGUGGAAGGCGGCAGAGAGGAGAUGACCGCGGUAGUACUAGUAGCAACAACAGCCGCAGGGGCCGACACCGUCCAUACUGAUGUUUGCAAAGGUUGCUGUUAGCGUUUAGAAGUUAGAACCUAGGACAAAAGAAUGCCUCUGUUGCAGUACCUGGAUCUGGAUGGCUACCACCUAAUAGCUGGAGACUGUACUUUGUAGUUUGCACUAGCGUUUAUUUUCCUCGGUCUGUAACGAACCGCUGUAGAACCAAUAAUACUGCAAACCGUAGAUGUAGCUUGGGAUGCUAUCCAUCAGGCUUCAAGAACAGUUUUGCUGUGCUCACUGCUAUGGUCUACAUUUGUGUCUGUUUGAUCACUCUCGGCGUGUUCAGUGCCGUGAGGAAUUGAAUUCUGGUGACCUGACUCUGAAUUUAACCUGUUGCUACUGUCUGUGGACUGGAAUGUGUCAAUCCAUCCCCACCUUUAGCUGUGAACGCCAAGCAGGCUGCAAGACUAGGUUCUUCUUGGGUGUUCAGUGCGGUGAGAAAUGUUCGGUGGACUAGGACGGCCGCCCAGGUUCUUCUUGGGUGAACGCCAAGCAGGUUGCAAUAAUCGGUAGAGUAGACUAGGACGGCCCCCUAGAUCAGCUGGCAGCGGCAAAACUCACCAAUCAGCUUACUGAAAGCAUCGGUGUUUCUCCAGUAGAUUCUGCAGAGGCCUUAGCUUUAUUCAAAAAGGAAAAAGAUUCUGCAGAGGGAGAGGAGAAGUGUUGACGGGGGCACGUCGGCAUCCCGCUGCACGGGCACGGCACAGCCGGAGCCGGAGCGGGCUCUCUGUUUGACACAAAGAGGAUUCCAGGCGGUGGUUCGAGGGCGUAGAGGAAGAGAGACUUGCCGUGGAGGCCUCUUGCCAUCAUGUACGCUGGUCCUGUUCAUCAAACCUCGAUCCGUAAGCAGAUCAAGGCUCUGGUCCUCCACUCCUCCGAGCCAGAAUCCUCUGCACGCGUCCUGCGAAACCAUGCUGCGCCCGUUCUUUUCGCGCAGAAGCCGUCGGUGGCGAGCACAGCCUCCGCUUCGCCUGCCAACAGCGAGCUUCUCCUCCCGUCGAUGGUGGCCAUCAGCCGACAUGGCCGCUGAUGACGGCUGCACAAACCAGCCUCCAUGCCUCGGGAGCCAAAGGAAGAUACAUUGGAGUUUGCUUUGAGUGGAGCUAUUUUCUGACUUCGAAUACAGUUCACAAAUGCAGUGGAAGGAUACAUUGGAGUUUGCUUUGAGUGUUCCUGUGGCGGUGGAGUCCAAUUUGAAUUGCUUUUAGACUUUCGUUGCUUGGGCACUGUCAAAACAAACUACAUUUUCAGUUCGUAUUACCAUUGUUAAGGCAGACUGUCUUUUAGGGGGUGUUUGGAUACGAGGUGUUAAACUUUAACAGUGUCACAUCGGAUAUUCGGAUGCUAAUUAGGAAAACUAAACAUGAGCUAAUUAUAAAACUAAUUGCAGAACCCUGUGCUAAUUCGUGAGACGAAUCUAUUAAGCCUAAUUAAUUCAUCAUUAGCAACUGGUUACUGUAGCACCACAUUAUCAAAUCAUGAACUAAUUAGGCUUAAUAGAUUCGUCUCGUGAAUUACACUCCAUCUGUGCAAUUAGUUUUGUAAUUAGCCUAUAUUUAAUACUCCUAAUUAGCAUCCAAACAUCCGAUGUGACAGGUGUUAAAGUUUAACACCUGGUUGCCAAACAGGCCCUUAGUUUACUUACUCAUUUCAAGAAAAUUGCCAUGGCAAUCAGUUUAGAGUCUGACAGGUGAUUAGCAAAAAAGAUGAAACAGGUGAUUUUCCAUAGAAAAGAGCACAACAAGAUUAGUUCAAUAAUCAACAGGUAAUUAGCACAAAAGAUGAGUUCAAGAAAAUCACAGCUUGAGCAACAUGAAAAGAGCAAUCCUGACCACAAGCCCCGAAUAUUCAGUCUCCAUUCUCCCAUACCACCAUCCGUUCACAAACAACUCCUAAUCUCAAGCAACCACGGUAGUAAUAGCAACAACAGCUACAGGGCCCGGCACCGUCCGUACUGAUGUUUGCAAACGCUGCUGUUAGCGCUUAGAAGUUAGAACCUAGCACAAAGAAUGCCUUUUUUGCAAUUUGCAGUACCCCGGCUGCCUACCAGCGAAUGCUGGAAACUGUUCAUUCCACUAGUGUUUAUUUUUACUACUCGUCUGUAACAAACCGAUGUAGAACCAAUAAUAUUGCCAACCGCAGAUGUAGCUUGUGAUGCACUUUAUUCAUCAGGCUUCAAGAAUAGUUGUGCUGUGCUGUGUGCUCGCUGCUAUGGACUACCUUUGUGUCUGUUUGAUCACUAGGUGUGUUCAGUGCGGCGAGGAAUUGAAUUCUGGCGGAUAAAAUGAGUUUACUCUGAAUUUAACCUGCUUCUAAUUUCUAUUGUUUGUGGAGUGUAAUGUGUCUACUGUCGAUCCAUCCCCACCUUAGCUUAAGAUGACAACUGUUCGUUACACUACGAGGCCCCCCAGAAUUGGGGGUUCUUGGGUGAACGGCAAGCAGGUUGCAAGAAUCGAUAACAGAUUGACAGGGAUGAGUUGGUGAUCAUCAGCUAGCAGCGGGCUGCGGCAACUCAGCACCCAGCUGAAGUGUACGCCGAGAGGGCAAAAGUGAUCGCUGAACAAAUCUGAACUGUGAACUGAAGCAUUGGUGCUUUUGCGUGGAACUUAGGAUGGGCAUAUAAUUUGUGUACUCAUGCUCUAUUGCUCUGCUCCCUCCUCCCCUUCUCCGCCUCCGCCGGCGCCAGCGACUCGAGGGGAAGAUAUUCCUGUGGCACGUACCGCACAUCUUGGUUCGUCUUGUCGAUGGUCUGAACCACCAUGGAUUAGCCUCUGAACCCAAGGCUAAUGUGGCGAUUCCAACGCAUGAUCUUGGUUACGUGCUUCCGUUGUUCAAUGCCAAUGUGAUCAGAUCACGGCUCGGUCAACAGAAGGAACACAUGAUAAGAAACUAGUUCAUUUCAAGAUAACAUUGCACAAUCAUCAAAUUAUCGGUAGGGAACACACAAGCUUGAAUAUUCGAUCGACAUUAUUCCUUAUCACCACACAUUCACAGAGCUCUCACCACUAACCCACAAAUCUCAAUCAUACAAGAAAACCAUAGCAACUGGCCCGACAAGAAGGUCCAGAGCACUCAACGCUGACACCGAGACAGGAACGCACACCAGCUCAGCUCAGGACUUGAGCUCAGUUAAUUUCAGGUCCAAACGAACGCCGCAACGGCAACCACGGCGGCGGCGACGCCCAGCAAGUAGCCUGCACCAUCAGAAGGGCCCGUCCCCGCCGCGCCGCUGUUCCCGUACUGGGCGCUUGCGGCGCCGAAAUGGGUGGCGACGCAGGCGACAAGCAGCAGGAGAGCAGCAACCAGCUGCUUGGAAGCAGACAGUUGGUCCAUCCUGCUGGGUUCAGAGCUCAGGUACCCUUGCACGUUCUUGGCGAACGGCAGGCUAUAUGUAGCCAACCGACGCCGGGGAUGGCACUCAUGAGUCAUGACAGCAUCAAAACGGCAAAUGGAGGGAUUGGAAGCAUCUCGCUAGCUCGCGACGGUAGCAACAAGAAGCUGGAUCUCUCCAUGGGUUGAAGCCUUGUUUUAACCGUCAAGUUCUGAACGACAGGUCAGUUUGACCGUUUCAAUGGAGUUCCCUUUGCCAACAUUUGGAGCCUGGAUCCAUUGAUCUGGACAGUUGGUUUGCGGCAUAUUCGUCUGAAAUUUUGAAGAAAAUGGACAGUUGAUGCUCCGGUAGCUACAAAGGUGAGGCCUUGCUUUUUAUGUGUCCACACCAUCCAUUACUGUAUGCAGCUUGCUGAUUGACAGCGUCAGUUCCAGUUAAAAAUUUCCUCUCCCUUUCAUGCUCUGGCAAUCAACUAGCAUGUGUGUGAUAAUGAACCAAUUAUUCUCUUUUGACACUUAGAAGUGAAUGCCAAAGGCGGCAAUGCCUGAUGCAAACUACUAAGUGUUAGGCACGGGCAAUGCCUCAUGAGAUCCUGCGUCAAAUUCUGAAACAAAACACGGGUAUAAGACGACAUACACACUUAAACCGCUUCGGACGUGCCCCCUCCACUUUUAUCCGGGCUUGGGACCGGCAUUGGCAGUGUUAGGCACCCCCCUACCCCACACCCUAACACGUACCCACAAGCAUAAACAAGAAAAUUAAACAGAACGAAAAAUAUCCCCAGUGCUCCAAUCACAACAAAAUUCAUCACGAUUAGUUAUCACUACAAACCACAUAUAGAAGGAGCUAUACAAACUGCUAGUAUUAAAAAUGCAACCAUCACAGCUAAAACCACUAAAUCAAACAAUAGUAAUUACAAACAGCACAGGCAAGGAGAAAAUUAUGCCAUGGCUGGGAAGACAAACUUGGAAUGAGCAUAUUUCACGUUAGCCAGCAUGCAAAUGAUGAUAAUCAACGACCAACAGAAACUUGGAAUAGCUCAGUAAACUCACAGUGCAAUUCGGCACAAGGACAUUACAAUUUUAUUAACAGAAGACACAACCACAUUGCAUUACUCAAAACUUCCAUAAAUGCGUCAAUUUAUAGCCUCAUACCACUUCAAUGCUGCAAAGAUGACGAGAAAAAUGGAAUCAAACAGCAACAUCAGGUUUCGCACAAACACACAGACACAACAAAAUGCUGCAAAUCAUCAAUUCCUAAAUAAGACUAGAAGAUUUUCAAUGCAACAAAAAGCAUACAUAACUCCUCAUCAACAUCUACUUAAUAGUUAUUGCACCUGAAGGUAACAACUAUAAAAGACAAUACCCAAUGAAAUUCAUUACCAUAAAUUAUUAUAAUCGGUAGACAACACAGGAAACAGGAGUCUACUGAAGGACACACACAAGGACUUCUAGGUAGGAUUCAACUCACAGUUAAAAAGACAAGUUCACACCAUUACCAAAUAAUGUAGUAUUUGAACUGCAUAAUAUACAACACAAAUGAGUCUUAUCCAGAAGGAAGGAUAUUAUAGGGACAUGGUCAUUAGUAUGGAUGCACAACUUUAGAAGAAAAAUUUCACACCAGUUAAAGAGUAACCAAGAUACACACUUCUUAUUUCUCACAAAAUUGAAGGACCAACAGUAAUGAUACUAUCAGGUAACAGAAACAACUUGUGUUAGGAGGCCGGCAUUACUAGUGAAGCAAAGAAAGAAUUCAAUAAUUCCUGUGUUAGGCUAUCUUAAGAUGAAAUGAUCAAUUAGUUGCUUGGAAUUGCUGAAUGCAAACAGUUAGUAUUGCUGAAUGCAAACAAUGUCUUGUUUCCUUUGAAAUUUAAUUCCAGCAAUUUGCAAACUAAAAUAGGGAAACUAUGAACUCAAAAAUAUAAUUUGUGCAACUUCAAAACAGUAAACUCCAUGACUAAUAUCAUAUGUACUGCAGUGUUCACCAAAACUUUGUACAAAACCUCACACAGGGUUUGUCAAAGAAAGUUGAAGAAAGGAUCUGAAUCACAUAAUACUUCUAGACUAGAAAACUAGACAAUAGAACAGUACUGAUAUGUCCUAAUCUAAACCCUUCCUAUGCACCUAAAAACAUGUUAAAUAUAGUUAACAGGAACCUAAUUGACCGUGGUUUAUUACAGAAAUAAAGCAACUAACAGCACAAUAAAAAAAUCCAAGCAUGAUAUGACAUUAAACAGUGGUAUAAAAGAACACAACUUACAACUGCAUAUAACAAUAAUAAAUACGAUUAACAAUUUAACUCUUAAGAAGAAAAAGACCAGCAGGUGUUUUACAGAGUAGCAUAAAACACCAAACCCAAGGGUUAGAAACUCAGUUUGGAUGUAACACAAAUGAAGGAUCUCUUAUCACAGAACUUAAGGGCCAAAACUUAUCACAGAAUUUAAGGGCCAAAAAUAAUGUUUCUUCUUAAUAUAAUGAUACCCAGCUCUCCUGCGUGUUCGAGAGAAGGACCAAAAAUAAUGAUAUGAGACAGCAAACAACUUAGCAAUACAGUUCAAACUGGAAAGGAAAAUAGGUAAGUUAGUAAUAAAUAAUUAGGAAAAAAAUCAGCGCACAACUCCAGUUAGAUAUCUACAGAUAUGCCUAGCUUGAAAUCAGCUAAAUUGAUGAAACAUCUAAUAAAAAUGAAGCAAUCAUCCAUUUGAACAAAACGAGACAACUCAGGUUUGUUAGUUCACAUGAUCACCGAGGCAACCUAAAAUAAAGGUUUUUCAGUAACUUGCAAGUAGCUUUGAUGGAGAGUGAACACCGCUAACAAAGAGUUUAGACUAGCAAACUACUUGCUUUUACAGAGAUGUCUAAAACUAAGCAUGGAACUUAACUAAUCCCUACUUGCCCCAUACGUUAGCACCAUUGCUACUGAAUAGAGUUAUAGUCUAGUAUCUAAUUGAUCUUCUAGACAUGCACAAAGCAAUACAAGCACGGAACUACACUAACAUAAUUGUCACAUAUACCAGCAUAAGCAAAUCAUUCAGAGAAUCCUCCAAAAUAGUAAUAAAGGGAACAAGAAAGAGCAAGAUGAUUAGGAAAAUUUACUAAAUCAAACUGGUUUUGCAAACUAGAACAUGAAUAAAUAUAAACCUUUUUCAGCUGGGACUCAUAACAACCAAAAAAACUAUGAGCAGACUUUCCUAGAGUCCUCUAAUCAAGGAAAGAUUCAAGUUCUGACUAGCUUCAGACCAAGAGAAACAAAAGGAAAUAGAAGCUAAAAGAUUUUGCGACUAAAUCAAAACAAAACGAUGGAUCAAUCUGAAAAGAAUUGUUCAUACUAUUAGGUUAUCGCCAACAGAACAGGAAAAUAACUAAAAAACCAUAUACAAUUAACAGACCUAAAUGCUUACAAAGAUUAAACCCAAAAUAGAUUGAAAUACAUUAAAAUAGUGCACAUAACAGUUUACUUGUUCAUUAUUAUGGUGGACAUCAAUUAAAAUAAACCCAUGCAGCCAAGAAAUAACUAAUACGGCCACAAUAUGCGUAGAUAGACAAGCACAAGCAAACUAGUGAAGAAGAUGCAAUAAAAUAGAGUGCUUUAUUGCAACGAGAAGAUGUAUGUUUACUUAAAAACUAAGCAGUUAUUUCUACAAUACUAAAAGAGAUACGAUUUCUUAACUGUGCACAGCUAGAGGUAUGAUUCAUUACAAUGCAUACUGUACACAUCUUGAGGUAUGAUUCAUUACAGCACAUAUUGCAUCAGAAUUGUUAAAAGUUGGUUACAAUAACUCCAUAAACAGACCUCAAUAAGGACCUAAAUAUGAAUGGAAAUUAAUGUUUUUUUUCAACUACAGUGUAUUUCAAAUCUGGAUUUUACACUAUCUCCACUGUUUGCUCAUUAUAGUGCUAGGCAAGGCGACGUUGCUCCGCCUAGCACCACCUUUUGAAACAGAGUUCAGGUUAGAAUUCUAUUGCUCCAAGAAUUAUGCAAAACAACCAGAUGUUAAUAAUACAUAGUGGUUACAACAAAUCCUUCUAUACUGAAAUUACACAAAUACAACUCCCGACAUAGAGAAGAUGCUUGGUCAACAGUACACACACAAACAUAAGUUACAACAGAAGGAAGCUGGCACUGAAACCGGCACAUGGUCCAGUAAAUGAAGGAACAUAAGAUGAUAAGAAGCUGAAAUCUAGUAGAGUCCGCAAAUCCAAGAUUCAUUCAAAACCAUGUGACGGAAGUAUCACCAGAGGACUAGGAGAUUCAGACCAAAGCACUACACCAUAAUCUGACAGAAGACCUUAAGGUACCACCAGAUAAACACGCAUCAGUAGCACAUCAGUAAGAAAACCACAACUUAGAGCAUACAUCCAUGGCCCUCAAAGCAAGAAUAGUACUUAGAAGAAUCUUCAAGCAGAUGGCUUCACAUGUAGCUAGCACUAAACUACACUGCACAGAUAUAGCAAUUAUAAAACCCACAUUCUGAAUUUCCUUGAAAUGAACCUUUCAAUUGAGCUGACUAUUUGAUAAUGAUAGAACAACAAGCCACCUUCAUGAGUGUGUCAAGAGUACUGAAUCAAAAUCCUGUUAUAGUACUGAAUCAAAAUUCUGUUCUAACAGCCAAAUAAAGCAUCGCUAUGUCAACCAUGAAUCCAUGAUUCAUACAGUGCGUGGAUCUGCAUACACCUCACAACCAGCACCAAAUAAUCCGACCAAUACUGCUUGCCGAAAUAAACAGCAAAUUGACACCAUAUACUUGUAAAUUCCAAACACACCUAAGCAAUCAUAUCUUAUCAUAACUAAACCUUCUGAUGAGACUGACUACCAUGAGAGGAACAUGCCAAAUGCAAAAACCGCAGAAUUCUGAGCACUCCACUUGCCUCCAUAUUCCAAUAACAAGUAUCAGGUACAGUUUCCAUCACAAAAAUUAUCCUGAACAGACCAAUCAUCAUGCAAACCAGAGACAGAUCGAGACCAAACCCUUCAGAUUAUCCUGUUUCGGCCAAGCCAAAUUUUCCGUGCUACCCAAUUAAAACCGAUCUGACCUUGAACAGAAAUCGAAACAAAAGAGCUGCAGAACCUUAGAUAUCAACAAAUAGUAAUUAGUCACAAAUCAACACAAAACUAUUUCCCCAAACAGACGGAUCCUGGGGGAAGCAGGGGAAUCAUCCAACCUAGACCUGGAAUCGAACGGAUCGAGCACCGCAAAGUACAAGCAACCCAAUCUAUCCGGCUAGCCCGCGCACCUGAUCAACCAAUCGACAAAACAAACAUGAGAUCGAAAACAACUGCGGCUGGCUCACCUACGACUUACCCAUCACCAGUUCACCACGACACGAUGGAGCAAGCGACUAGGGGAAGCCCCCUCUAUACCACGCCUACCGAUUCUAUUCCACGGUGAGGAAGAGACCCGGGGGUCGGGUGGCUUUAUAGGGCGCACAGGUCGGUAGUUGAUCGUCGGUUCCCCGACGGAGUCGGUUCCGCUCCGGCCGAGUUGGAAACGGAGACGAAGAUGCGAGGACCGUGGGCGUCCAGACCUGUGGUCCGCUGGCAGCUGGGGCCAGGGGGUUGUCACCACCGCCUCGAUUUGGUGGGCCCAUUCUUAUCCUCAUCAUCGCUCAAAACAAAACAGCAGCCGUGACCCGUGAGUGAUGAGUCAUGAUCCUAAUCCACAAGCAAAAAAAAAAAAAAAACAAAGAAAAAACGUUGCGUUCCCCGAUUGUGACGUUGCCUUACUGGCAUUGGUUCAAUUUUGUGAAAGGUUUUAACAUGAGUUUUUUUUUUGAAAGUUUAACAUGAGUUUCAGUGACACUAGAAAAACAAAAAAAAAAGAUAAUUCGAAUUAAAAUCAUCCUGCAGCUCCACUUAAAUGUGCCAAAGAAAUACUAGUUUUACAAAGUUUAUUAUGCAGAGCCCCAAUUCACCAGAGUUCAGUUCACGCAUUCCAUGCACAACAACAUCCAAAGAACAAGCAUGAAACGGAAUAAACAUUACCUGAGCUCCGGCCUUUCAUACUUGUCUUCUCCAGCUUCACCAGGAAUUGGGUGGUACCGAACAGCGUGAAUAGCAUAGUCAGCAUCGCCGCCCUCCUCCUCAACCCAAUGCGUACCGCAGUCGAAGCGCAGCACCGGAGUCGCAGAAGGCUUACUCACAAACACCUUCAUGAGUGCGGCCCUGGUCAUCAGCACUUGGCCCAUGAAAAUCGGCGGGGCGAGCAGCGCCGACACGAGGACCUCCUCGGAAUCGUCCCGGCGGUGCAGGAGUACAUCCUGCACGCGCGGGGCAUCCGAUACGGCGACGAAGUCCGGUGCGUCCUGCGAAGUGGGGGGAGAGAGAGGUGUGACUUGCGCGUGCGCUGCUGGAUUGGAAAUGGGGUCGGUGGAUCGCCGAGCAAGGGGAGGAGGAGGGUGGUGUGGUACCUGGGAAUGGAAGGAUGGGGGAGCGGACGGGGCGGAGGAGGCGAGCUCGUGAGAAAGCUCGGCGCGGACGGCGGCCAGGACGCCGCCGUCAUUAGCGCCGCGGCGGAGGUUCUCAGCCGCCGCAGGAACAUCGCUGCUGGGAGAGUGGAGACUGGUGGUGCGGCGAUGCGGUUGGCCGGUUGCAGACAUUUGCCAGUGCCGGUACGCACGGGGCCUCCUAUCUAUCUCGUGAAGGAUAGAUACGAGUUGAAACCAUAAAGCCUAAUUAAACUCAUUAGCUAUAACUACUACCUGGUGCUAGCUAGUUAAUUAUCCUGUUCUGUUGCAGCUGUUGGAGCCUUAGGUGAAUCAGCGUGAGGAUAAAAAAAAAUGUUGGAUGAGAAUGGUUGAAUCAACAUCUUUUAGAGAAAUGUUGAAUCAACAUUUUUUUCUCUGACAAAAGUUGAACCAAUAUUUUUUAAAGAAAAGUUGAACCAACAUUUUUUUAUAAAGUCCGGCCAACAUUUUUUCGACAAAGUUCGGCUACCAUAUUUUUAAAGUUGGACCCAACAUUUUUCGGAUCCUUCUUCUCCGACGCCGGUGGGGGCACGCGCUGUGGCGGGGCCACGCUGCAAGGGUGGCACGCACGAGGUCGCGGUGGCAGUAGCGGAGGGUGGGGGUGAGGUGACGGCUGGCGGCAGCGGGGGGCGCGACGGCCGGUAGCGGGGGGGGGGGGGGGGGCGCGAUAGCGGGAGUGGAGGAGGCAGAGGUGGGGUGAUGUGUGUUGGUUUGUGAAAUCCAAAUGUAAGUUGUUUUGCACGAAUCUGAGACACUUGAAGGUUUGGAAGAUGGAUAGAAUUUUCGGUUAGGCACGCAGGCAAGAACCCCGGCCCAACAGAUCAAAGGUCGCCGCAUGGGCUUUUUCGUUUGAACGAAACAUCUAACAUCGGUAUAGCAUGGAAAUAUUUAGGAGACUUUUGUCGAGUUUUUGACAUGUGGAUACACUUGAAUAUUCACGCGCAUUUCUUGCUUUGCUUUGUCUCCGGGUCUAGAUGCGGGCUUUGAACAUUUAUAGUAUGUACUAAACGCACGCUCCAAGCACGAAGGCUUUGCUGAAAGAAAUUGAUCCCGGAAGACCUUAGCAUCGCGAGUCUUCCGGAUGUUCCAAACUCCAAAGGACACUGCCCCGUUCCGAACGGCACAGCGGGCCAUAGAAGAUUUGUCUUCUCUUUUUUAUUUUUUGUUGCUGGGGGCUAUAUAAAGCUGGAUCUAACAUGUAAACCUGUAUCUUUCGAAAAAAAAACUAUGCAAACUUACUCAUAUCUUGCAAAAAGGGCAAACAUGUCGCGAAAUUGCAAUCGGUAUCAUCAAAUUUAUAGCUGUAAAUAUCGUUUUUUUAAAAAAUAAAAAAGGAUUUUGCAAUAUUCUGACCCAACCCAACUACUGAAACAGCGUACUAAGGGGGUGUUUGGAUACUAAGUGCUAACUUUAACCGUGUCACAUCGGAUGUUCGGAUGCUAAUUAGGAGGACUAAAUAUGAACUAAUUAUAAAACUAAUUGCAGAACCCGAUGCUAAUUUGCGAGACGAAUAUAUUAAGUCUAAUUAAUCCAUCAUUAGCAAAUGGUUACUGUAACACCACAUUAUCAUAUCAUGGACUAAUUAGGCUUAAUAGGUUCGUCUCGUGAAUUAGACUCCAUCUGCACAAUUAGUUUUGUAAUUAACCUAUAUUUAAUACUCUUAAUUAGCAUCCAAACAUUCGAUGUGACAUGUGCUAAACUUUAGCCAGCCGUAUCUAAUACCCCCUAAAUCGAGAGAGACAGCCUGCCGUGGGUUGGCCAACACAUGCAUGUUAGUAGUAGAUCACUCUACUUGUAUCAUACCUAAUCAGAUUACUAUAUCCUGCCGUUUUAGCUUUAGUUGGCCAUCAAUACAUUUUCUUCCCAUUUUCUUCACAAUGUCACACGUCGUAGUUGAUCGCUUCCCGGAGAUCUCAGAGGCCAUUGCUGGUCCGAUCCCUUGUCAACCAUCAGAGACGGACGGAAGUACCAAAGGAGUUGCUGGCACGACGAACACGGAGCCCACGCUGAUUCCGCUCGGGCCGUGCAACAAGGUCAACAUCCCCAGGACCACGCCUGGAGUCGUUCCUUUCUUUAUAUAUAUAUAAAUAACCUCUCUGUCUCUCCCGUCCGUGCUUGAAAGCUCCAUUUCCUCUGCUCUCGGCCUCGGCGAGCUCGCUCCCGGUGGUGGUGGUGGUGGUGGGAGGGGAGGGAUGGACUGGUUCGAGAAGAGCCUGCAGAAGAACUUCGAUCUGCCGCCCAAGAACGCCUCCGAGGAGGCGCGGCGGCGAUGGCGCUCCGCCGUCGGCGCCCUCGUCAAGAACCCCCGCCGCCGCUUCCGCAUGGUCGCCGACCUCGACACCCGAAGCCAGAACGAACUCAUGCGACGAUCCGCCCAGGUACCGCUUACCACUGCCAAACCUUCAGCACUCUGCCUGCUUCCCUCUGCAUAUCUCAUGCUCUGACUUUCUGCAUCUCCCCAGCGCGUGACGCUUUCUGCAUCUGCAAUUUUUUUAGGCCUUUCCAUGUCCACCUUACCCCAUUCUUUACUUUCUUAUUUCUUUAACCCAUUCUGCCUAACUGAAACUGAUUCAUCUUUAUCUAGUUACAUUCUCUGCAAAAAGGAAGAAGUGCAUAUUGCUGUUUUUUUAGAGCAGAAGGAACACCGGUUGGCCUCGUCUUGCCAUCACAUCGUCACUCGGGCACCUUCAUCAAUUUAAUUCCGCUUUGAUUACGCCUUAGUGCAAGUCUAGUAACCAUUACUAAUGCUAUCCCUUCGUUCAUGAAAAUGCUAUCCCUGGUACAUAAAAAUGCUAUCCCUUCGUUCAUGAACGGAUUCACGGGUCAAUUAUUCGCGCAGCACCGAGUGUGACUGCGACGUCAAGGAAACUUCCAGGAAGCAACCCAGCCAUAGGCCAAUAAGCGUAAAAGACUGUACUGACAAGUACAUACGCAUCACCUGACGUCCGAACCACAUUGGUUCUGUCGAUGAAGCCCCCACCUGGCAUAAUCUUCUGCAUAUAUUGUUUCAUGCCUAAUGCAAAACUUAGCCUUCCUAUUUAUUUGACUGGAUAUAUGCUCUAGGUUUGGCGCGUAGGGUGGGUACGGAUCCAUUUUUGAAAUAAAGAAAUGCUAGUCUGCUACUCCUAAACUACAGUAUUGCAUAUUUGUUUGUAUCUCAUACCUUAUAUCAUGUAAUGAAAGAACUAAUAUCUUAUACACGAAUUGUAAGAGCUUUUAUUCUUUGUUUCAUUCACCAGGAAAAAAUCCGGGUUGCCAUCUAUGUGCAGCAGGCUGCGCUCAAUUUCAUUGAUGGUACUACAUAACUCACCAUGUAUCAUCUUACUGUUUAUUUUGAUGCUUUACUAAUUCUAUCUAACCUGCGAACUAUCUGGUGUUGAAGGUGCCAAAUAUAAAGAGUACCGGAUAACAGAGGAUAUUAUCAAUGCUGGAUUUUCCAUCAACCCAGAUGAAUUGGCAUCGAUCACAAGCAAGCAUGAUGUGAAAGCUCUGAAGAUGCAUGGUGGGGUAGAUGGGAUAUCCAAAAAAAUCCGUUCAACAUUUGAGCGUGGCAUAUCUGCUAGUGACUUGGAUACAAGACAAAACAUCUAUGGUGUCAAUCGCUAUGCAGAGAAACCUUCAAGAAGUUUCUGGAUGUUUGUCUGGGAUGCAUUGCAGGACGUGACUCUUAUCAUUCUUAUGGUAUGUGCUUUGAUAUCAGCUGUAGUUGGUCUGGCAUCUGAAGGUUUUCCCAAGGGCAUGUAUGAUGGCUUGGGAAUAAUACUCAGCAUUUUGUUGGUUGUGAUGGUUACUGCUAUCAGUGACUAUAGGCAGUCGCUUCAGUUCAAGGAGCUAGACAAUGAAAAGAAGAAGAUAUUUAUCCAUGUAACCAGAGACGGCUCUCGACAAAAGAUCUCUAUAUAUGACUUGGUAGUUGGUGAUAUCGUGCAUCUAUCAAUUGGAGACCAAGUACCUGCUGAUGGGUUGUACACUCAUGGAUACUCCCUAUUGAUUGAUGAAUCCAGCUUGUCGGGUGAGAGCGACCCAGUUUAUAUUUCUCAAGAGAAGCCGUUCCUCUUGGCAGGAACCAAAGUUCAGGAUGGAUCAGCUAAGAUGAUGGUAACUGCUGUCGGUAUGCGCACUGAAUGGGGAAGAUUGAUGAGCACGUUGAGUGAAGGAGGGGAGGAUGAGACACCAUUGCAGGUUAAACUAAACGGAGUUGCAACCAUCAUCGGGAAGAUUGGCCUGGUGUUUGCCACAUUAACAUUUGUAGUCCUGAUGGUUAGAUUCCUUAUUGAGAAAGGUUUAACUGUUGGUUUGUCCAAAUGGUAUUCUACUGAUGCAUUGACCAUAGUGAACUACUUUGCAACAGCAGUCACUAUUAUUGUUGUUGCUGUUCCUGAAGGGCUGCCUCUAGCUGUUACUUUGAGUCUUGCAUUUGCAAUGAAAAAGCUAAUGAAUGAUAAAGCACUCGUAAGACAUCUUUCAGCAUGUGAGACAAUGGGAUCUGCUGGUACCAUCUGCACAGAUAAAACAGGAACUUUGACUACUAACCAUAUGGUGGUUGACAGGAUCUGGAUAUCUGAGGUUUCAAAGUCAGUUACCAGUGACAAUAGUUUGGAAGAUCUGAAUUCUGUCAUUUCUCCAACCACACUGGGCCUACUCUUGCAGGGCAUUUUUGAGAACACCAGUGCAGAGGUAGUCAAAGAAAAGGAUGGUACGCAAACUGUUUUAGGAACUCCAACAGAAAGGGCUAUAUUAGAAUUUGGCUUGAAAUUGGAAGGUCACAACACUGAGGAUAGGACCUGCACCAAGGUUAAGGUUGAGCCUUUCAAUUCGGUUAAGAAGAAGAUGGCAGUGUUGGUCUCAUUGCCCAAUGGCACAUACCGUUGGUUCUCCAAAGGUGCAUCAGAAAUCAUUGUGCAGAUGUGUGACAUGAUGGUUGAUGCUGAUGGAAAUAGUGUUCCCUUAUCAGAAGCUCAGAGAAAGGAUAUCUUGGAUACUAUCAACUCUUUUGCUUCAGAUGCUUUGAGGACACUGUGCCUGGCAUAUAAGGAGGUGGAUGAUUUCGAUGAUGAUUCAGAUAGUCCGACAGGUGGAUUUACUCUAAUAUCCAUUUUUGGCAUCAAGGAUCCUGUGCGCCCAGGAGUCAAGGAUGCUGUGAAGGCCUGCAUGUCUGCUGGUAUCAUUGUGAGAAUGGUGACUGGUGAUAAUAUCAAUACAGCUAAAGCUAUAGCCAAAGAGUGUGGAAUAUUGACUGAUGAUGGCAUAGCAAUAGAAGGACCAGAUUUCCGUAGCAAGAGCCCUGAAGAGAUGAGGGACUUGAUACCCAAGAUUCGGGUGCAUUUUGCUACCCUCAGCCUAUAUGUACACUAAUAAUAUCUUGCAACAAAUUUUAAUAUCAAUUAACAUUGGCAGGUUAUGGCUCGUUCUUUACCAUUGGACAAGCAUACCCUUGUGACGAACUUGCGAGGUAUGUUUCAUGAGGUGGUUGCUGUGACUGGCGAUGGUACUAAUGAUGCUCCAGCAUUACAUGAAGCAGAUAUCGGACUUGCUAUGGGCAUAGCAGGCACAGAGGUAUUAUAUUAUUAUGCAUUCAUGCUUGGACGUGUCAUUAGCAGGAACUGAUAUGUCACGGUUGAAUACUACAUAGAUAGUGAUUCUAAGCUGGAAAAUCAAUCUAUCUGGUUCAUUUUUAGUUCCAUUUUCAGCUAUGGCCCUGUUUGGGAGGAGGGUGCUAAAAUUUAGUCCUGGACUAAAAUUUAGUCGUCUCAAAAAGAGUGCUAAAUUUUAGCCUUUGGGGGUGUUUGGGAGGGAGGCUAAAGUUUAGCAACUGCUAUGCCAAAUGACCCUUUUACCCCUAGAGCGGCAUGAGCCAGAGGUAGUGGAUCUGCAGCAUCAUGUCGGAGAGCUGCUGCGCGUCGACGGCCAUGUAGUUGACGAUCAUGCCGAGCCCGUGCCGGAUCUGCAUCCCAAGCUUCUGGCAGCGGGAGGGACAGGACGAGCGCUGCCACCGCGAGCACGUUGUCGGGGAGCGUCGCGGCGCCGGCCCCAGACAGCAUGAGGCGCGCGACGGAGGUGCCAGCGAGGAGCGCCGGCAGCGCGGGCGCGGGCGGGGCCGGGUGGGGCCGGCCGGAGGUCGCGGCGGCGGCGGCGAGGCGAAGGCGGCGGGCGAGGUGGAGGCGGCGGCGGCGGCGAGGCGGAGGCGGAGGGCGAGGUGGAGGUGGCGGGACCGGCGCGGAGGUCCGGGCGGGGCUGGCCGGAGGUCGCGGCGGUGGCGGCGAGGCGAAGGCGGCGGGCGAGGUGGAGGCGGCGGGGCUGGCCGGAGGCGGCGGCGGCGAGGCGGAGGCGAAGGGUGAGGUGGAGGCGGCGGGGCCGGCCGGAGGAGGAGGCGGCGGCGGUGAGGCAGAGGCUGAGGGUGAGGUGAAGGCGGCAGGACCGGCGCGGAGGUCCGGGCGGCAGUUCGGGCGGAGGCAGGGAGAGAGAGAGACAAGGGGAGGAGAGAGAGGGGAGGGGGGCAGGGGGGAAAGUGGUCCGGGGGACCACUUUUUAGUCCAUUUAGUCCAUUUUAGCUACCCCAAGUGACUAAAGGAUUAGUGGGGGGCUAAAAUUUAGUCCACCAGUUUUAGCUCACCUGUUUGGAAGCACAAGUGACUAAAAUGGACUAAAGUGGGGGUGCUAAACUUUAGCACCCCUCUCCCAAACACCCCCUAUGUGAUUCGAAGAGUUUGUUUCUAUGUCCUCGCAAAAAACAUCGAUAAACAUUGACAUGUUUAGGGGCGCGUAUGUAAUCUAGUUCCAGUGGGGUGUCUGGUGUGUGUUCUGUACUCGGGUUGGACCCGUUCGUUUUCUCCUUCUUAAUGAAAUAGACACAGUUCUCCUGUGUCGUUCGAGGAAAAAAAAUCGUUAAACAUUGAUCUCUCUAGUUCUUUUUGCUUAAACCUCUUGCUGAUUGGAUACAUGGUUGGUAGCAUUAGACAUUUAUUAGAAGUUAUAACUCCUGACUUGCAAAAGCUUAUCUUUCAGCAAAUAUCCAUGAAGAUAAUGGGAUAACCUUACACUUCUGCAGGUAGCCAAGGAAAGUGCUGAUGUGAUAGUACUUGAUGACAAUUUUACAACUAUAAUCAAUGUUGCAAGGUGGGGUCGUGCGGUUUACAUAAACAUACAAAAAUUCGUGCAGUUUCAGCUGACUGUCAAUAUUGUUGCUUUAGUCAUCAACUUUGUCUCAGCAUGCAUUACAGGUGCGAGCAUCAUCUAUAAUACUAUUUCCAAUCCUGCCAUGAUUCUUGAUAUCCACUAUUCAAUUAACAAUGCUUUUGACUUUUGCCCUGCAGGGAGUGCUCCUCUCACAGCAGUGCAGUUGUUGUGGGUCAAUAUGAUUAUGGAUACAUUAGGAGCUUUAGCUCUAGCUACAGAGCCUCCCAAUGAUGACAUGAUGAAGAGGCCUCCUGUUCGGCGCGGUGAGAGUUUCAUUACCAAGGUCAUGUGGCGAAAUAUCAUUGGGCAAAGUUUAUAUCAGUUGGUUGUACUUGGAGCUCUCAUGUUUGGUGGGGAGCAACUUCUGAACAUCAAAGGUUCUGAUUCCAAAUCUGUUAUCAAUACACUCAUCUUCAACUCCUUUGUGUUCUGCCAGGUGAGUGCGUUGUAACCUUUGUCAACACACUUUUAGUCCUAACACCUAUGUGUGCUGUGGUUAAGUUAAUUUCAAACACUUUGUUUUUUGGCCCUAAUCUAAAAUUUGUAACCUGUUUGUCUGCAUGCUAAACCAAUAUACAUUUAUGGAACCUACAUGUUGCCAUUUCUCUGAAAGACAAGGGAAAAUAUCUGCAUUUGAAUUCUUUCCCGUAUUGUUAUGUCUGAUCAACGAUCAAUAUGAUCAUAUGGUGUUCUUUUAUUUAUGUUACUUCAGGUGUUCAAUGAAAUAAACAGCAGGGAAUUGCAGAAGAUUAAUGUUUUCCGUGGUAUGAUCAGCAAUUGGAUCUUUAUUGGAAUCAUAGCUGUAACAGUCGCAUUUCAAGUGGUUAUAAUAGAAUUUCUCGGCACGUUUGCCAGCACCGUUCCACUUAACUGGCAGCUUUGGUUGGUAAGUGUCGGCCUUGGAUCCAUCAGUUUGAUCGUUGGUGCCAUCUUGAAGUGCAUACCAGUUAAUUCAGAUGCAAGUCCUUCAAGUCCAAAUGGCUACGUGCCGCUUCCCAGUGGUCCGGAUAACAUAUAGCUGAAGAAGAGUGAUCGACAAGGUACUGCAUUUGCUAGCAUUAACGGGUCCAUGAGAACUCCAAAUACGCCACGCGGCUACCUUACAUUUCGAGUCCUGCUUGAGAUCAUUAAUAAACCACUGCCUAGGUUCAGUUUUAACAAAUUGUUCUAUGCCUUGUCAUGCAAUUGCUCGUUCUCAGUCCUGAUUGCAGUUGCUGAAAUGUAAAAAGAGAUGGUGAUGAACACAACGCACCCUAUUUGGUAUGGGUCAUGGAAACAAUGUUGUUGACUAAUUGAAGUACAGUUACUUUGUUCUAAUAAGCAAAGUUCAGUUUUAGUGCGUGGUGCAGCACUAAUGAUUGUUUUGUUGCGGCCAUCCAUGGCUGAACAGAGCCGAACGAAUCCUUAAAUAAGCUGAGGACAUAGUAAGUUAGUAACAGAAACGUUGCAUCUGUAAAGGAUCAUCGAAUCGACACUAAACUAGCUAGAAAGCGAUCCACGCACUGUAAUUUUACAAAACUCUACAGCAGUGGAUGCCCAAUCCCCCCAAUGUAUCAGCUCGCUCCCUUUUCGCCCCUAGGAUCAUCACCGUUUUCUCACACUGCACCGUCGCUUGGCUUUGGACAUGAGAAGGUGUUAUGCAUCAAUUCGUCGUUCAGCUGCGCAUCUUCACUGGAAAUUUUUUUUGAAGAGUCCAUCUUCAGUGGAAUAAUCAAAGCCGUAACCGAUCUCUACAAAUUGCUGCCAUCCCUCGUCUGGAAGAAGCACCUCCAAUGGCUGUUGCUCGUCCUUCACGUAUACGCCGCCAUUGACGCCGGUACAGUGGUAACUGGCCACGCCUUGUUCCAUCAUGGGCUGCUGCUGCCAGGUGGUUGGUGCCGCCGCAUUCACCAGCGCAGUCUGCGACGUGCUGGCAUAGGAGCACCCGACGUCGGUCGGCGCCGCCGCCGCCCAAUAACCUGCGGCGGCGAAGUCGUGCUCCUGGCGCAGCUCGCACCGCCGCUUCUUGGACGACCGGAGCUGGACCACCUCGUCGGUUUCUUGGCGUUCCUCGUUGGCGUCGUCGUCCGCCGCCGCCCUCGGCGUGCGGUGCACCCUGCAGAGCACCUUGACGCCGUCGCCGCCGGUGGCAUCGGGCAUGCUGCUCCCGAUCUCCUCCAUGAGCCAAGCGCUCUUGCCGCCGCCGGGAACGCGGUACUCGAAGGUCUGCCGGUACCCGUGGCGGCCGACGGCGAUCCGCUUCCCCGAGCCGUGCCACGUGCCGCCGCCCUGGACGGCGCGCGCGGCUCAUCCGGGUCCCGGCGUUGCCGUCCUUCCACCGGGCGACGCAGAGGAAGUACCAGUUGCCGUCGCCGUGGCCGAAGUGGCGGAGCCCCGACGUGAGAGUGCCCGGGUCCGCGCUGUAGACGUCGGCGGCGCACACGAUGCCCUCGGGCUCGCCGAACGGCGUCUGCCCGGCGGGGCUGGUCACCCACGGGUUGAGGUAGCAGAGGAUGAGCUCCAGCGGCGUCGGCGCGAAGCGGUAGCCCGGGGGCGCGCCCGGCCACGGCGCCUGCUCCAUCCGUUCUUGUUCGAAGCGCCAUCCGCGUGUCCGGGAUCCCGAGUUCGACUCGGUAGAGGACGGGAUCGCAUCCGGGGAGCGAGGUCCGACUCCGAGGUGUGCUAGGAUUCGGCCUUGCGCAACGCGGCUGCAGGUGUAGAAUUCCAUUUCUAAGCUUGACUUGUUUAGUUCACCCCAAAUUCUAACUUUAGCACUAUGCAAAAAGAAGAUUCCCUAUCACAUCAAACUUGCGGUGCAUACUAAAUGUAGACGAAAUUAAAAACUAAUUGCACAGUUUUGUUGUACUUUGCGAGACGAAUCUUUUGAGCCUAAUUAGUCAAUGUUUGGACAAUAAUUCACAAAUACAAACGAAACGCUACAGUGUACUGCAGUGCUGGCAUAGUAAUUUUAGCACUUCAAAAUUGAGCAACUAAACAUGGCCUACCGCUACAUACUGUGAUCGGCAGUGUAACGGUAACAGCACAAAGCUUCUCCGGUAGUAAUUCGCUGUCUGAAACUGUAGCAACUAGCGUCUAGCAAGCAAUCGAGUCCUGCAAAAAAAGAAAAAAAGUUAAAAUAGUAUAAGAUGAUGGGCCAGCUGUGAGCCUUGAAUGCGGUGACAAAGGCCGGGGCCCAUUGGUAUCUUUGCUCCCGGCUCGUUCAGGCCCGCAAGUAGUCGUCAUGGGCCGACUAGCAAAGCCGAAGCAAAAGGAUAAAAAACUUGAACCUAACAUUUCUUUUUUUUUUUACCGUGUCAGCUCGGGUUUUGCUUCCGUCGUCGUCUUCGGAGUCGUGCGGCGGCGGCGUCGCGGGGGCGGUGAGGGGAGCGGGCGAGACGAGGAGAUCGGCCUAGAUGGGGAAGCAGAAGGGCCGCGCGUCCAGCAGCGGCAUGGCGGCGUCGCUGGUGCCGCACGCCCUGGGCGCCGUCCCCACCGUCGGUUUCGGAGGCUACCACGGCGCCGUCCGUGUUGAGCCCGCUGAGCCCUCCGAACCCGACUCCCCGAUUCGGCUCACCCCAGUAUGCUUUCUCGCUCUUCCUUCCUUAGGUCUAUCGACGUGGCUUUCUCCUUGUCCUAGUUCUCUAGUUGGAGAAUUUGACUUGCCGAGUUUUAUUACUGCUUGGGUCCCAAAUUUGGUCCUUGCUCUCCGCGCAAGCGAAAUCAGACGAAGUGACAAUAACCAGUAUCAAUAAUUCGCAAGUUAUCUGUGCUAGCAAGGAUCCAGAAUCGAAUUGGCGUUCAGGUUUAGCCUUGGUAGGGAGCUGGACCUGAAUUUGUAGGUGCAGUAAUGAUCUGUUCUGAGUCCAACAUCAUCUAGCUCCCUUUGAGUUUACUAACAGCCUUUGAGUUUACUAAACCACUAACAGCCUUUGAGUUUACUAGCUUUGUUGUUAGUUUGCUUCUAUUUGUGGCUCCGCGCUCAUGGACAUUCUCACUGUCUUAUUUCUGAUAUGUGUGUGAAGGAUGUGGAUGGUGAAGUGCUUCAGAACCUAAAAAGGCUAGGAAGGAAGGAUCCAACAACAAAGGUCAGACUGCUAGUCAUAUUCUUUUCGUUUACCUUUAUUUUUUUCUCAAAAAUUUUGUACUAGUAACACUUGUGUUCUUGUAGUGAGAAUCUUUAGCUUAAAUCCACUUGUUUUACAAUCAUUUCCUUUCAAAGGAGCUACUCAGGUGCUCUAACCACUAGGCUAGAGUCCCUUUCGCAACAUAAUUCUCUUUGAACCUUCAAAGGUCAGAUAUAUGAAGUUAGAUGCAUUCCCCAUGUAGGAAAAAUACGUAUUAAAUUCUGGAUACUACACUGCAUAUGCUUUCGCUGAUUUGCUAUUUAUAAGUCUUUUUCUGUAACAUGUUACAAUUCUCUUUUCUUCUCUUCAAUGUAGCUCAAGGCCUUAUCUGCGCUCUCUACACUCUUUGCACAAAAACCUGGCGAGGAACUUGUGCAGAUUGUUCCACAAUGGGUAUUUUCUCCAUUGCCCUGUUGCAUUUUUAUCUUGAUUUUUAUAUCCUUAUGGCCCUAAUAUGAGUAAAGCUUAUUUGCCGUACUUCAUAACAUUUAAUAUCUUUAUGAAAAUAUGCCUAGUGAUAAAGUAGUAUUCUUUUUCUGUCAUAGAUAUAUUUAUAUUAUAUAUGCAAGGUCUUUGAUCAGAACAUAACACCCAUAUGGAGGUCUAGUUUCCUACAAACAAUUGGCAGCGUGGACUUGUUUCUUUUUUUGGUGCGAGUAGAUUGUUUCCCUGUAAUCUAUGGGUACCUUAGCUUUUUUAGACUUGUUAAAUGAGAUCACAUGAGUUCAAAACCAGUGUCUAGCUGUUCUGCUGUAGCACAUGUUAGUGCUAUAUUUGCUUAUGUUCCUAGUAAGCUUGAAGUUGAUGUGAAAAAAAGGAAAUGAUAACAUGGUUAAAUACUUAUUUGUUGCAUUAAAUGCUUUUAUCCAUUAUUUUGCUAAUCUCUUCAGAGUAUUUUGAUUUUUCAGUCCACUGAUUGUCAUGUCUGUUUCAUUAUAUGCUUGUACCAUCACCGUAAAAAGUACGCACUAUAUUAUUUCCCUUCUUUUUAGGCAUUCGAGUACAAGAGGCUUCUGCUUGACUAUAACAGAGAAGUUCGUCGUGCUACUCAUGAGGCCAUGUCUAGCCUUGUCACAGCAAUCAAGUAUGUCCAUCUCCUCCCAUUCAACUGAGUUGCAUCUAGGCUAUGCUGUUUAUAUUUGGUAGUGGUGCCUUGUUGGUUUUCUUCCAGUUAGAAAAGAUCUUAUGCCCCAGCAGGACCUAGAUUUCUGUAAUUCCGUUUAUCUAAUUUGCAAUUCUUUUCUCAUCUUUGAGUGGGCGUCAUUUACUCCAUUGUUUUAGGAAGGGUAUAGCUCCACAUCUGAAAUCCUUGAUGGGUCCUUGGUGGUUUUCUCAAUUUGAUCCUGCUCCUGAGGUUGCACAGGCUGCUCGACGUUCAUUCGAGGUGGGUGCUAGACUUUCUCUGAUUGAUGUUGCUGGCUGCAAGUUACUUGACCUCGACCACCUAGAUUUGCUGCAGCCAUUUCUUACCUGGAAUGCUAGACUAAAAUGACUAAACCAAUUGAGGGCUUGUUUUGAUAGGCUGGGAUUUACUCAUUCCCUUUGGAUUGGCAGGAAAGUUAGUUCAUUUUCCACCUGACCAAAGGGAUUGGGCCCAAUCCCCACGAGUUUAGGUAAGCCCUCAAAAUAACUGAAAAAUAACUCCUGACAGUUAACUGCAAGAAAUGGACCAUCGAUGUGGAAUUAUGAAUUUAUUCUUAUGUUCAGAUCUGGUUAGGGGAUGCACUCCACUGGUUGAUUUUUCAUGUAUAUCCCUCACUUGCCAUUAGUUGGAAAAGGAAAUAAAAAUAUUUUGAUUCCUUGUUAGCUGGGUAUAUAAGUAAGAACGCAAUUGCCCCUUGGGUUUAUGUACAUUCCAUGUAUUCGACGUAAAUUUCCUUGCAUUGCAAGGUUUUUUUUUCUUGGGGCCAAGUCCAUCUGUGUUUGUCCUAAGUCAAACUUUUUUUUAACUUUGACCAUCAAUGUAUAACAUUUUGUAUAGAUUGACAUCACUAGAUUCAUUCUGAAAUCUACUUUUAUAGUAUAUUUUACAUCUAAGAUAAUAUUUUUUUUAUAGAUUUUGUUGGUCAAAGUUUUAGCAUUAGCGUUGUUACUAGAGAGUUGUAUCCAGGUUCAGCUAGUGUCUAGGUUCAUUGCUAUUAGUGCUACCUAGGUUUCAGCAUGUAGUUAAAGAGAAUGAUAUGCGGAUCGUAUGGGCAUUGAUUGCAUGAAUUAGGAAGAUGUCGUGGGCAGCUGUCUAGUCCUGUGCAGUGUGAAUCCACCACAGAGAAAACUAUGUGUGUUUGUGAUGAACACCUAGAGAGAGAGGGAGGGAAUGAUUUCCAACAAAAACUAAAAAAGUUUGACUUAGGACAAACCUAGAUGGAGAUAUAUUUGUGAUCAUAGGAAGUAUUAAUUAAGCAAGAAUAAUGGAUUGGUCUUCAAUUAUCUCAUUGUGAGCCUCACUGCUACAGGUCAAGCAGCGUUGCUGGAACAGUACUUCACAGAACUGAGCUACCAUGGCCUAUGUAUAUAGACUGUCUCAUUGAACUUAAAAACCAUAUUGGCUUGAGUUUACAUAAAGAUAAUUCUAGAAAAUGUUUCUGUAAACUUGUAUUCUUUCCAAAGGGUCAGAUUGAAGCUCAAUUAUAGAAGCACAAAAUGUAUGCCAGCUAUUCAGUCUUGUCAGCCUAGCUUACGUUUAUUCUUUUGGUAAAAUACGCUUUAUAGAUCUUUUUAGUUCUAUUAACUGUUGGAAAGCAGUAUUUCCAUUUGAACUAGGGUCUUCCUCUAUCUUUGUAAUAUGUUAUAGGUUUGUUCACACGUUUCAGUUCUUUCUGUAGGCAGCAUUCCCACAGUCAGAGAGAAGAUUGGAUGCAUUAAUGUUAUGUGUGAAGGAAACAUUUCUUUACUUAAGUGACAACUUGAAGCUAACAACACAAGCUUUGUCUGACAAGGCUACACCUAUGGAUGAACUGGAAGAUAUGCACCAGAGGGUAUGAUUUGUGGUCUUCCAUUGUACUGAAUGUUGUGUAUUGCUCAGUCAGUUUUCCAUACUAUUUUUUCCCGUUUGUGCAAUCAGUUUCAAGAGAUUUCCUCUGAUGUAAAAUAAAUCAGUUAUGCAAUCUUGUAAUUAAAUUGAUGGAUUUUCCACCUUUCUUUUCCUUAAUGUUUACUCCAACUGAUGCUAUAUUUAAAAAUCAUAAUCGGUGCCCCCACACUCCUUUUACAUAGAAGGACAGAAGUCUGUACCUUCAAAUAAUAGUUCUAUUUCCUGAGGAGCGUUCAUGUUGUUUUGUUGCUCCUAGAGUCUUGGACAUGGUCAUUGGUUCCUUCUAUCCUAAACUUUCUAUUUGUAAGUUCCUACUGUGCUUCUAAUACCAGUUGUCCAUUUUCCUAUUUUCCUCUGCAGGUGAUAUCAUCAUCACUGCUAGCUAUGGCAACUCUUGUAGACAUUUUACUAGGAGGGAAAUUGCAAAAUUGUGAUGUUGAUAGUACCAGUACAGAAAACAGGAGUCUGUCAAAAGUUCGAUCUAUUACACUUUCGUCUGCUCAAGCCGCAUUUUGUAUGCAUAAAUGUUUCCUUGAUGCCCUCAAGUCGAAAAGUGCUGUUAUACGGUCAGCUACAUACUCACUACUUACAAGUUAUAUCAAACAUAUCCCUCAUGUUUUUGAUGAAGAAACCAUGAAGAAACUUUCUCCUACUAUACUUGGUGCAUUCCAUGAAAAGGAUGCGUCAUGUCACUCUUCUAUGUGGGAUGCAAUUCUUGUUUUCUCUAGAAAGUUUCCAGAGGCUUGGUCAUAUUGCAAUAUUCACAAAGUUGUCCUCAGUCGGUUUUGGAAUUUCCUACAAAAUGGAUGCUAUGGGUCCAAACAAGUCUCAUAUCCUCUUCUAGUUCAAUUUUUGGACUCUAUACCACCUAAAGCAGUCAUGGGACAACAAUUUAUUUUUGAUUUUUUGCAUAAUCUCUGGGCUGGAAGGAACCAGAGGCAGUUAUCAGCUGGUGACAGUUUGGCUUUCUGUAUUGCCUUUAAACAGUGUUUUUUGUGGCUUCUAGAAAAUGUGUCAAGGUAUCCUUUCUCUGAACUAGUUCAGAUUGCAAUUGUUUUGUGAUUAAUUGAUUUCCUGUGUAAUUACCUUAUCUGUUUUUACAGAUAUUCUGGAGAAGAUUCUUCUGUUGAUACCCCCAUCAAGCUUAUAACAGAUAUACUUGCCAAAAUAGUUUGGCGUGACUAUCUUUUAUUGUCUGGUGACACAACUGGUAACAGUGUUCAGUUAUCUCAUAAAAAUUCAGGGUCAGCGGCGGCGAACACGCAGUACCCAAUGUACUAUCUUCAGGGUUUGGAGAAAUGUAUUGUUGAAAUACUGGAUGUGAUUGCGGAUACAGAAAAUCAUUUACUCAAUAUUUCUUGUGAGUUGUUUGUGAGGGACUGUUUGGACAUAAUUCAACAGGGGGAGAAGCUUUCAAAGUUUGAGGAUCAUGUAGAACAACUUGUGUCUUUCUUCCUAUCUUUGGAUCAACUUGUUGUACACAAAGGUGAAACAUGGCCACUGGAAAGAUUAGCAAGACCGCUGGUUGAACAAUCUUUGCCAGCCAUCAAGUUCGUGGUAAGGCCAGACACUUGAUUUUAGCAUGAAGUCCUUAUUCUUCUACCUGUAUACUCUUCUUUGAAUUUAUGCUAUACAAUGCAGUUACACAACUUACUUAGCAAUUGAAGUUGGUUCUAUAAGACAUUGUGCUAUUGAUGCAGGACACUCCAAGCUUGGUUAAGCUUCUUUCAGUUUUGGUUGAAAUAUUUAGACCCAUUCCCCUAUUUCUAAAGAAUAAUCAGAAUCAUGAUGAAAAUUCAGAUGUGAAGUCUUAUCUGGAGUUGUUCAAUGAUGACCUUCUCCCUUGGUGUUUUAAUGGAAAAUAUAGCACCUGUAACUCAAAGAUUGAUUUGUUGCUUUCGUUAUUUCAAGACGAGUCCUUCUUUGACCAAUGGUGUUCCAUCAUCAAAUAUACUGGAGCUGAACAAAAGCACUCUAUUGAUGAUAAGACCUCAAACAUUAAGAACCGAUUAGAAUUGCUUACGCUGUUGCUUCAGAAAAUCAGAGAAAGAAUUGCUGGGGGAAAGCUAAGGAACUUGCAGAAAAAUGGUUAUCUUCCAGAGCAUUGGCAGCAUGAUCUAUUAGAUUCUACUGCAACUUCUGUCAUCUGUGAUUUGCCUGCUGCAGAUUGUCAUGUUAGUUUUCUAUGGUAUGUGCUUCAUUCCCUUCGUAUUUGUUCCUUUGUGAAUGUUUUUGUUUCCAGGUGCCAGAACAUAGGUGUCAUUUGACAUAAUUUGUAUGUGUAAAAUUUCAGUGCUGCACUUGGUGGCUCGGAUCAAGAGGAUCAAAUCUGUUUUCUUUCUGCUGAGACUGUUCAUAAAGUUCUUGGAUCCAUUUUAAGGGAUUUGGCAUCGGCACUCAUGGCAUCAACUUUUGAAUGGCCAAGGCUUGCAUAUUCUCUUUUGCUGUCUUCUGAGCCCGAGUACUUGAAGCUUCCAGAAGAAAAUUCCUUGCCAAUUAACUUUGAGAUGGCUCAAUUCGCUUUUAAAGUGCUUCAAGGUAGCUUCUUUUCACUAUGGAGACUUGAGGAAGAUUCUGCAUUUCCUUCUAUUCUGGCAGCUCUGUUUGUCAUUGAAUGGGAAUGUAGCAUGUCUUUAGCUAUUGAUGAUGAAAAUGAUUUGGAAGGCCAUAUAGAAGAUAUGGAUGUUGGUUCUUCUAUGCACAUAAGUUCAAAAGAUUAUUUGGAUGAGAAAAUGCAUUUGAAGGCCAACCUUGCAGAAAGCAUACAUGCUUUUUGCCAAAGCUUAAGUCCAUCCUUUUGGAAUAACCUUCCUUCAUGCACAUUGAAUAGAUUGGCAAAUAUUCUAGCUCAAUCUGUCAGGUAUUCUGUAUUUCAGACGAGAGACUUGCAUGUGGAGAAGACAGCAGUCCUAUGUUCUGAGUGGGUGGUGGAAAUGUUGAAGCUCAUCUGUCUUGAUGACAUAAACUUGCAAAGCUUUUUUGAUCUGUUGUUAUCCGAGGGAGAACACUGGCCGCUCUGGUUGAAGCCAUGUUUACAAAAUGGGCAUGCAUCUGUGAAGGUCCAGUUGGAGCCGGCUAUUACAGAUGAAAUUGUAAGAGUUCUUUUAUCUGUCUUCUCUUCCCAUAGUCCUUGCUUCUAUUUAGCACAAAAUAUUUGAGUAGCACUUCUUUGAGAUGAUGAGUCUUAUCUUUAUGAAAUUUCUGUGCAUUUCUUAGCUAAAUGUGUCGCUUAUCAGUAGAUAUUAUUUGUCCUCAAUAUUUAUUUUAUCUGUACUGUUCUAUCUACUAUCGGAGUUAUGUUUUGAAAUUAUGAAAUGGCACUUUAUUUGUUAGAGUUCUCAGUCACUGUAGUAGCUCUGGAGAACUAAAUCAAUAAUUCCUUUGGUGCAGGAACUGAAACACGAGCGGUUUGUUGCUUUCGUUGAUAGGCUUAUUCUCAAUCUUGGCUUUGGUGAAGUGAUUUUAGGUAUUCCAGGAAAUCUACGACGUGCCUCAUCACAAUCAAUUGAUAUUACUUCACCUAUCUCUUCCUUGUCUAGAGCAUGGGUGGCUGGUGAGAUCCUUUGCACUUGGACAUGGAAAGGGGGAAGUGCACUGAAAACAUUGUUGCCUUCUCUGGUUCAGUACAUGAAAGAGGAAUCACGUCUUGAGGUUGGCAUUGUGCCGUUGUUGCUUGACACGCUGUUAGGUGGCGCCCUUAUGCAUGAGAGUGGUCCGUGGGUACUGUUUAAUGCUUGGCAUCUUUCUGACAACGAGAUUGGGAAAAUUCAAGACCGUUUUCUCCGUGCUCUUGUGGCUUUGUUAUUUACUACUAACAUCAAGGAUUGUCUUUGGAGAGAAUCUGAUGCACUUGUAUUUUUUGAGCAACUGUUGAGCAAUCUUUUUAUGGGCUCAAUAGUGAACAGAAAGUGUCUGAAAGUUCUUCCCUUUGUUAUGAGUACCAUCAUAAAACCCCUGUCACAGAAAUUGAAUGAAGAUUCUUCAUAUGCUGAUUUAGUCAGGAAAAGCAUAUUGAGUUGGCUUGAGGCAGCCAUCUCUUGCCUGCCAUCCAGCCCAAGGGAAGUACCAGUGCAAGGUAGGCUUCAUUAGAAUUCUCACUAGAUAACUCAGGUACAAUAUUGCCUUUACAAACAUGUAAUAUGAUCUCUUACUUUGUCAGAUAUUGAGGACUGGAUGCAAGUGGCACUGUCUUGCUUCCCAUUGAGCAUAACUGGAGGAGCUCAGAGAUUGGAAGUUACGGUUGAGCGAGAAAUCAGUGAUGCAGAGAUAUCACUAAUGCUGACACUCUUUCAGAAAUACCAGAUUUUCUAUAAGGGCUUGGCUUCGCCAUUGUCCACUAGUGAAACUGUAAUAUCAAGGAUAGUUGAGUUACUGGGGGUGAAAUUGACGGCUGUUAUGGUUGGGUAUUGCUGGACAAAACUUCAGGAAAAUGAUUGGCAUUUUGUGUUCCGCAUGAUAUUCAAGUGUAUUGAAUCAUCUGCUUUGCUUGUGGAAGAAAUGACAGAUGGCGUAAAUGAUGCCGUAAUAAACCAGGUAUCAAGUGAAGAUGCCUUGGAGAAGCUUAAGUUAGUGGUUAGCACUACAGAUAAGUUAACAUUAAGCCUUGCGGAAUCUGCUCUGGUUACAUUGUGUCACCUCAACCAUCUUGGUAAUCUCCAAGCAGCAGAAAAUUCCCAGAGUUUGCAGCUUAUUAGAUCAGGGGACUAUGUUGAGAGUACUAACAAGAUGGUGGAGACUAUCCUCCGUUUGUUCUUGGCUACUGGUGUUUCAGAGGCAAUUGCCAAAUCCUUUGGUGAAGAGGCUUCAUCCAUCAUAGGUUCUAGUCGCCAUGCUUAUUUGCAUUUUUGGGAACUUGUAGCGUCAAUCAUAAAGAAUGCUUCACCACAGAUUAGAAAGUCUGCACUGGAGUCCAUGGAACUGUGGGGACUUACCAAGGGUUCAGUCAGUGGACUGUAUUCGAUUCUUUUCUCCUCACAACCAGUGUUUCACUUACAGUUUGCCGCUUUCUCUCUACUUCUGUCCGAGCCCUUCUGUCAACUUUCAUUGCUCAAAGAUAGUUCUCUGAGAGAAAAUUGCUCAUCUGCUCAACGAUCAGACAUAAGCCAAAGUGCCGAGUUGAUGCCAGAUUCAGAGAAAACUCUAUGUCUCAGAGAUGAACUCUCAGCCUUAGUUGAAUUCCCAACAUCUGAACUUCUAAAAACAGAUCUGACAACACGAGACAGGGUAUGCUAUAUUUACGUCUUUUAAAAUUUAGAAGCUAUUUCUUUUUGUUAUGUGCUAAUGGUUCUUUUGUGUUUUCUCUCACCAGGUUGAUGUCUUCAUUGCAUGGGCAUUAUUGUUGUCACACCUGCAAUCACUACCAUCAUCUUCCAUUAUUAGGGAAAAUGUACUUCAAUAUAUACAGGAGAAGGUCAGUCCGUGCAUAUUGGAUUGCAUUUUCCAGCACAUCCCAGUGAAGACUGCUGCUCCUAGUGGGAAGAAAAAGGAUGCUGAACUGGUGCCUGAAGUGGAGGCUGCUGCCAAAGCCUCUAAGAAUGCCAUAGUUACUUGUUCAUUGCUGCCAUACGUGGAAUCUCUUUCACCAGUUGGGACUUUGCAAAUGGCUUCACUUGCAGGAUCAUUGUAUGGAAUGAUGAUUAGAUUGCUACCUUCUUUUGUGCGCACAUGGUUUACUACUUUGAGAGACCGUUCAUUGUCAUACUCAAUUGAGUCGUUUACUAGACAAUGGUGCAGCCCUCCUCUUCUGCUAGAUGAAUUUUCUCAGGUAUGUGCAUGCUCUUCGGUGGCAAAAUACACUUUAUUCGCCAGCUCUAGUAUUUAUAGGGCUCUAUUAACUAGCGCUUAACCUCUUUGAAAAACAACCUAUUAGCCUGUGAUGCAACUUAGCUGCAUUAGAUGCACACUAAUUCAUUUGGUUUUCAGUAUGUGUUUCUUUUGUUGAAAUCAUGCAGUUAGAUUUGAGUGGGGUACAUCUGUACAUUUAAAUCAAAUAAUGUUAUUCCAAUUGAAAUGGAGUUCUAUUAUUGCCUCAGCAGCUAACUAUAUCUCUUUACAGGUUAAGGAUUCUGUGUAUGCUGACGAGAAUUUCUCAGUUAGCGUCAACAGAUCGGCUUACGAAAUCGUUGCCACAUACAAAAAGGAGGAGACGGGAAUUGAUCUUGUCAUACGCCUCCCUAACUGUUACCCCCUGCGCCAUGUCGAUGUUGAAUGUACCAGAAGUUUGGGCAUCAGUGAAGUCAAGUGUAGGAAAUGGUUGCUUUCCCUCACAUCAUUCGUCCGCAACCAGGUAAUUUAGUUAUGUUCCCAAAGCAAGGACACUAGAUAUUAACUGAUGGCUUUUGAGAACUAGGGCACUAGAUAUUAACUGAUGGCUUUUGACGCAAGGACAUGGAAAAGACAUUUGAUCAUAUCUGUAAGGCUUCUGUUAGAGAAUAAUGUAGCGCUCAACUAAGCUGGUUGCUUCUUUCUCUGCAGAACGGCGCGAUAGCAGAGGCGAUCCGGACGUGGAAGAGCAACUUCGACAAGGAGUUCGAGGGCGUGGAGGAGUGCCCAAUCUGUUACAGCAUUCUCCACACGAGCAACCACAGCCUACCGCGGCUGGCGUGCAAGACCUGCCGGCACAAGUUCCACGGCGCCUGCCUCUACAAGUGGUUCUCGACGUCCAACAAAUCGACUUGCCCGCUGUGCCAGACUCCCUUCUAGGCAUGCAACUUUGUUGGAACCGUUCAAUAUCUUUCUGUAAAUGGCGUGUGUAUGUAGUGUUCAGCGCCUUAGACCCAAGCAGGCUUUUUUACCCCGUUAUCUCGUAGAGGAAGAGACAUACGACUCCGAGUUGUAAUGCCCAGUUGCUUAACUAGUGUACACGGCAAGCUCCUUUUUUUACAAUUAAAGUUUUAUACACCUCUUAAUGAUGCCACGGACCACGACAAUGAAAUGCCGGUUCCUGACCGAUCGCUCUCAUUUCUCCUCGCCCAGACGAGGCAGGUGACGCUGGCCUGCGGACGGUGGUGAACGCAGGUACAAACUGGGUCUCGACCGUUGUUACCGGGCGCUGUCAAGUAGCUCGUGGCGGCAACCUUGCAAAAAGGUGCUGACGACCCGAGUGGCAGAAGCAUGGCACAAAAAAAAUAACUAGAUUGUUCUUGUUGAACAAACACACAAGUGCUAUAUAUAAGAUGCAGCAUUUUCUGAGGCUAACCAUACACACCCACAGGCACCCCAGCCAGCACAUUCACCGGUUUUAUUUUCUGUCAAGAGUACAAUUUUAUGAUUCGCAACGCAGCAACACCAGUCAAAUCCCAGAAUUUAAACUCAGCUAAGAACAACUCUGCACAUAACCAUUUUUACACAACUGGCAUGCUCUGAAGUCUGAACUGUGGAGUACACUGCCACUAGGCGAUGAGGAAAGGGAGCACGGUGAGCAUGAAAGCCUCGUAAGUAAAAGUCGCAGACCCGGAGUAUGCGGUGUCCUUCUCCUUGAACUUCUCAGUCAGUCCCUGCAAAUUAUUCCAAUCCAAACAAGUAAGCACAGGAUAUUGGAACAAGACGCCAAAAAAAGGAGUUUGCUGAGACUAUUUGAGCUUGCGCAGUAUGGUGGAGGCAUACCUUAACAGUGAGACAGCAUCUGCAGAGGUAAAAGAAAGAAAAGGUGAAAUAGUUAGGAUUGUGGCACUGGGCAAACUGAAAGCAUAUUGGAUGUAUUCACUCUUUCCAGUAUUAAACAUCAAAAUCAUCGUGUAUCAGAAAAUAUGGCUGAAACGUUGGAGGAUAGUUGAUGAACAAACCAGUUAUUAGUUUGACCUUUUGCAGCUUGUUAGUUAAGACAAGUUUAAUUCAAAAUAUGGAGAGAAAAAAACUGUUCCACCAUGAUAAAUUUCAUAGGCGCUAUCAGUGGGUUAUGGACAUCCACGACAACAGCACUGUAUGAUUCAUUAGACUAUCCAUAACAGAAAAAUCUGAAACAAAAAAAUUGGCAAACAGUGAAGAAAUAAAGACGAAUUAACUUGAAGGAAGGCCCUUACUCAAUGAAGUUAUCAUAUUCAAUUGCUCUGCUCUUGCCCCCAGUCUUGUCAAAUUUAGACACAAGCAGGUCUAGCACAGUUGGAGAGACAGAAUAUCCCAGACUGAGAAGAGCAUCACGCAGUUCUGAGGAGUCAAUCUUUCCACUUCGAUCACGGUCAAACCUUUCAAAUAUUCCCUGAACGAUACAGUGAAAUAUUAGUAUGUGAUACUAAGCAUUACUUUAUUACAUCAACCGAUUGGUUUGCUUAUAUAGCACAGAAGUAAAGGUUAAAGAAAAGGAGCAAUAAGUUGCAGAACAUCUUACUCUCCAAUUCUGAAGACUAUAAAACACAGAAGUAAAUUCCUUGGGUCCUGAAAAGAUGGAAAACGAAAAUUAGCAUUUGAAAUACUUAGGAAAGUAAGAGGUACAGGAGAUACAAGGGAAAUGGUGAAACUACUAUAUGCAUGUCUCAUGCUUGUGGGGAAAAAGGAGAAAGAAACACAAACUAUGCCAGACUGCCAGUGUUAGAGCGAAUGGGUAGAGAGUGACAUGACCAGUAGGCAGUACCACUUCAUAGUUCAUACUGCAAAGAAGUUCCAUGGUUGCAAUAAGACUGCUAACAAGAACUUCAUGUUACUUGCAGCAUGUACUCAUGAAUUGAACUCGACAUUUCUUAGCAAAAGAAUAUAAAAACAACAUAGAAAAUGACAAAGAAGCACAACUUAGUGCUGAUCUUUGGAGUUGAGACUAGAACGUGACAACCCAUGACUUGAUCUCUACAUUUUAGAGCAAAGGAAAACAGAAACAACAUACGAAACUCUUGCAAAAGUGAUUUAGCUUGUGAAGUUAGUAUUUUCAACUUAUAUAGAAUCCUUAACAAACAGAAUCGGAAUCUAAAGGACUCUAGCAAACAUGAGGGUUCACCAAACUACAUGCAUCACAGAGAAGUGAUAUGCCAGAGCAGAAUCACUUCAUAGUUCAUACACUACAAAAAGAAAAGUCCCAUGGUUUCAAUAAGAUUAGUAAUUGGAAUUUCCUGUUAUUAUACUUAGUGCUGUACUGCUGUAUCUAUGGUGUGUGGCUGGUACUUGGCAACAACCCUAUAAUGACUGAAGUCCUCUACACUCUACUCCGCAUGAUCAUUUUCCACAUAAAUAAAUGGAUCUACUUGAUCAAUUCAAUACUUAGCCACUUAGUACAAAACGAAGUAAACUCUCUAUUUCUUUAAGUAAAGAACAAAACGCCAGUGCAGUCUACAGACCACGCCACUCUGUGUGCCUAUGACGGGGAAACCCACGAACUACGAAGAGCUGCACAUGUACAAGUACGAUACAUCAGGCCACGUAAAAGUCUUCCACCUCCCGAUUCCCAAAGUCAAAUACGUCGGGCAAUUAGUCAGAGUAGAUGGGCAAAUCCGGAGACAUACACGCGCUGCGUUGGGCUGCGUGCACGACGCAACACUAAACCAUAGCACCGCUGGCCAGCACGAUGGCUGCCCACGGCGCACUCGAGCCGCGAGCCGCGGACUGGAACGAACAAUGGCAGGACGGAGGGAGGAGAUAAUGGGGCUUACCGAUCUUGCGGACGUUGGUGUUGGUGAACAGGUACAUGAGGAGGUGGACGGUGCGGAGGCUAAAGCUCUGGUUGUACCCGGAGAGCGCGGCCUGCAGCUCCUUGUCGUCGAUCAUCCCGCUCCCGUCGCGGUCCGCCGCCUGGAAGCAGGCCACCACGUUGGGGUCGGUCCCGGGCGGGAACGCGGACGGCACCAGCGACGCGAACGGGCUCCCGUACCCGCCCGCGCCCCCGUACGCCGUCGGCGGCGGGGCCCCGUAGGGCGCCGAAGAGGGCGGCGGCGCGCCGUAGGGGGCGGAGGAGGGUGGCGGGGCCCCGUAGGGCGCGCCGUACUGCUGCCCGGCGGGCGGGGCCCCGUAGCCUCCGCCGCCGUAAGGCUGGGAGGAGGGCGGGGCGCCGUAGUAGGGGGGCACGGAGGAGGAGGAGGAGGUCUUGCCUUCCUUGGGGGGCUUCUCGCCGUAGGGCGGGGCGGAGGGGGCCGGGGAGGAGCCGUAGGGAGGUGGGGCGCCGUAGCCUCCGCCUCCGCCGGCGCCGGGGCCGUAGGGGUAGCCGGAGCCGUGCGGCGGGUAGCCGGCCAUGGGGGCUUCCGGGCUUGCCGGCGACGAGAUCGCACACGGGAGACGGUGGCCGGUGGGGAAUUGGGAAUCGAGAGGGGUGCUCGGAACGGAACGGAAUUGAAUGCGAUGCAGCGGAGCAGGUUUGAGCAGGGGGAGGGGGGACGGGAGGGGCCUUUUAUGACGUGGCGAACCAAGGCGGGCUCGGAAGGUUUGGGUUGGACUUGGCCAUGUUUAGUUGACCAAUUUUGAAGUGCUAAAAUUACUGUGCUAGCACUGUAGCACACUGUAGUAUUUCGUUUGUAUUUGUGAAUUAUUGUCUAAACAUUGACUAAUUAGGCUUAAAAGAUUCGUCUCGCAAAGUACAACAAAAUUGUACAAUUAGUUUUUAAUUUCAUCUACAUUUAGCAUUCCAUGCAUGUACUGCAAGUUUGCUGUGAUGGAGAAUUUUCUAGUGAUAAAGUUGGAAUUUGGAGGUGAAGCCCAGAGCGCGUCAAGAAGGCAAAGAAGGCUCGGAGCCGCGGCUUGCGUGACCGCGGACAACGCCGACGCGGCGCCGGCGCGUUGAAGCGAUCACGUCCACCGUGUUGUUUGGUGACGAAGGAUCAGCGUGGCCAUGCCUGCCGGGCAGGUUGCGGCGAGAGGAGGAAGCAUCGCUCACGCCUGCAUGCAAUGGAAUGUUCCUUCUCCUGUAUGCAGACUUGAGAAAUGAGAAAAAAAAUGUGGACAGGAGGAGGAGCAUGAAUGUUCGGAUGGGCCAAGAUCAUGGUCCGAGAUACGGGCCCAUCUUGAUGAGUUAUGGCCCAACCCCAAGGAUGCUUGCCCGCCACUACUGCCUGCUACCGUGCCAACGGUUGGUUGGUUGCCAUUUGCCAUUGCCAACGACCACACGUCUCACACGUGACACGUCGUUCUUGGAGAGAGCGCCGGUAGCCCACCGCGCGCACGGGAGCGGAAUGGCCACCAUGGGCGUGGUCAGAGCAUGCGCGCCUCCCGCCGCCGCGGCCACAGCUGCUGCCAAGAGGAAUCCCUCCAGGAGCGCCCGCGUGCUCGUGCUCGGCGGCACCGGCCGUGUGGGAGGAUCCACGGCCACCGCGCUCUCCAAGCUCCGCCCCGACCUCAACAUUCUCGUCGGGGGACGGAACCGGUAUCCACCCUGAUACUACCUCCCCUGAAUCAGCAGAGUAUCCUUGUUAUCUGUUCAAGCAAUCAAGCUGCAUAUCAAAAUACAUAUACAUAUACAUAUACAUACAUACAUACAUACAUAUAUAUAUAGACACACACAUACAUACAAGUAGAGUAUACUCUAUGCCCGGCCAUAGAAUAGCUUAUUCUGUGAUCAGCCUAUCCAACGUACUAAAAUAGUUACAAUUACUUGAAUGGUUUCAGACAACAAUAUAGUCGACUUGCUAGAAUUGAUGUAUCCAUUCUUGUAUGCCGCAAUUUACUAUAAAUUGAUUGUACCUUAUUGGUGGCCAUUUCGCUAGGGAGAAAGGUGAAUCCUUUGCAGCUAAGCUUGGAGAGCAGUCUGAAUUUGUCCAGGUUGAUACCGGCAAUACCAACAUGCUGGAGGACGUGCUACAGGGUUAGUAAUGCAGCAUCCUACUUAUGCUGCGGCUAAAUCAAUCAGAAUUUAUCGAUUCAUGGUACAAUUCCACAAUAGCAGUAGCAGCUGCAAAGCUCCAAACAACCCUCUGCAGACUCCCGAUGUUCAAGCCCCUAUUUUAAUUUUGCUUGAGAAGAAGCAUAACUACCUGAAAUUUUCUUCAUUCCCCACAGGUGUGGAUUUAGUUGUCCAUACUGCUGGACCUUUCCAAAGGGCGGAGGAGUGCACUGUGUUGCAGGCAGCGAUAUCUACUAAGGUAGUGCAGAAAGUUUGCCAAUGGAAAAAUGACGUGCUUUAUGCACGAUUGCUAAUUUUGUAAGAUCAAUUGAAGAAAAAAAUAAAAUGCUAUUGGUACACUUUCUUUUCCUGAGCAGACAGCAUAUAUUGAUGUUUGCGAUGAUACUGAUUUUUCGUGGAGAGCAAAAGGUUUCCAUGAACAGGCAAAGGCCGCAGGUGUUCCAGCUAUUACUACUGCUGGCAUAUAUCCUGGAGUCAGCAAUGGUAAGGAGUGCACUCGAUUGCACGUUUGUACAGACCUUCUUUCAGGACAGAAUGUGAUGCAAAUUAAAAUGGACCACACCAAUUUUCUUACAAAAAAAUUAAUUAAAUUUCUACAUAGAUGGUGUUUCUUCUGGUAAUAGAAGUGGCUAUUUAGAAGAUGCAGAAUAAUUGACUUUUUUACUGAUUAUUAAUGUAUUGUAUACUUCUCUGGUGACAGUGAUGGCUGCUGAGCUUGUACAUGCUGCCAAAAGUGAAAAUGGCGAACCUGAGAGAUUAAGGUUAGAGUUCUUUAUUUGCUAGAAACGAAAAAUACCCGUUAAGUGUGGAAAGGGUGGCUGGAGCUGGAUAUAGUUUUGUGUUGGUAUGUAGCGGUUUUAACCGUACACGUAUAAUAUGUUCUCUCCUAAUAGAUAGCCGAGAUGAGAACGGGCCUGGGACCAAUUGGUCACCAGAAGCCUCAGUAGCACCGGCCUCAGUAGGAGGUCUCAGGUUUGAUCCCCUUUGGAAGUGGGUUUCGGGGGGAUUUUCCAGGAAUUUUCCUGGACUGCUGCAGCCUCAACACGUGCUGGGAACUGGUGUCCAAGACCAUCUUUUCAAGGCAGGCAUGUAAGUGUGAGUGUAGGAUGUAGGCUUUAGCUUGCGCAUAGGUGUGUGGGUGUAGUGUUGGGUGCGUGUGUGGGGUGUGUCUAUGGAUAAGUUCGGAUACUACAACUUGUAGUCUCAUAAGCGAGGCUAUCUCAAAAAAAAAAAUAGAUAGCCGAGACCAUGUUAUGUUACAAACACCUGCAUAAUUUCUGUAUUGUAUUAACCAGUUUCAUCCAUGGUUCCUUGAUUUUUGAAGCUAGUAACCAGAUUUUUACACAUCCAUACCUAUUCUAUAUGUUGCUAAAUGUCCUUUUAGAUUCUUCUACUAUACUGCAGGUACUGGUGGUGCUGGUCCAACAAUACUGACAACAAGUUUCCUGCUUCUUGGGGAGGAUGUAAUUGCAUAUAACAAGGGUACCUCUUAUUUCUUCGUUUGCUUAUUUAUGGUGUUCCUCGGGGAAAUCUUAAGUGUGUUACUAAUUCAGGAGAAGAAAUCAAAUUGAAGCCCUACAGUGGAGCUCUGAACAUUGAUUUCGGAAAGGGGGUCAGAAAGAAAAAUGUUUACUUAUUGUAAGUAUACUUUGGGCCAUAUUUUUCUUUUCUAUAUCUUAUAAUUUAUAAAACUGAACAUCCAUGAGGAGUAAAUUUCACAUUACAUUAUCUAUUCCAGGAAUUUGCCUGAAGUGAAGAGUGCUUUUAAGAUUUUAGGUGUGCCGACUGUUAGUGCCCGAUUUGGUACUGCUCCUUUCUUCUGGAACUGGGGAAUGCAGGCUUUCACGAACUUUUUACCUGCCGUAUGUCUUUCCCUCAGGUUAUGCAUUAUAUAAAGUUAAUUCAUUUGAGCGUGUUUAGUUAUAGUUGCUACUGGUAAUAUUGUAAUAAUAAUAGCAGUUGCAGACAGCUAUUAGCAUUUAUCUUCCUGCAAUUAUAACAUUUAAUCAGUAGUUCCUGCAUUAAAGUUAUAAACUUUAUGGUUUGCUGUUGGGUGGAAUUGAGAACCUGUACAUGACAAUAUUCGGAUUCAGUUCAUGUUAAUUUGACCUGGUCCUAUCUUGGUCCUCAUCAGGAGUUCUUGAGGGACAAAAGUAAGGUUCAGAAGUUGGUUGAGUCUGUUGAUCCUUUGGUUCGAGCCGUUGAUGGCAUUGCAGGAGAGCGUGUCUCCAUGAGAGUAUGUUCUUCAGCUGUGUCAAGAGUAGUGAUGGACUACUAAUGGACAUUGUCUGAUAAAAUUUAUUUCAUUUCUGUAGGUAGACUUGGAGUGUUCAAAUGGGCGCAAUACCAUUGGAUUAUUCACUCAUAAAAAGCUAUCUGUGUAAGUACAGAUCAUAAGAAGUUGAGCAUCCUUGCACAAUACCUCUGUUGUCUAAUAUUCUAAUUUUUUUAAUUGUCUGAUUAUUUACAAAUGCAAAGCUUCAGGUGUACUUUAGAUUAACUUUGUCCAAUUUUUUAGAAAAAGGAAAUGUUUCCGACCUCAGAUUAACUUUGUCCAUGCCACAUCAAUAUUGAUAGUUUCCUUGCUUUCCAAAUUAACCUAUGGAAACCAUCUGUUUCUAUCUUUUGCCUCAAACUGGGAGAAUGUGUACUUCAGAUUUUUUGUUUUAUUUCCAAUCCCUUACAAUGUUAGUGUUAGCUUUACAUUUGUAAUCUAGCAUCACCGUAUUGACCAGGCAUUCAUAGUUAAAAUUAGCAAAGAAGUUAACGUAUGGUUAAUUUGAGAAGUUCUCGUGAGCUCUUCAGUUUCUUUUACCAGGUGACCGAGAUUACUGGAAAUACACUAUGUGUAAGGAAAAUGGCUGUUAUGGCAAGUGGGCCGGCCGCAGGCCUAGGCCCAUGAGUACUGUAGCUCGUGAACAGUAUCAAGAGGGGAAUAAGAUUGGUUUGUUAGCAGGUCAUUAGAGAUAAGGUUAUUUAGAUUAGAUUGGGUUUGUUAGGGAGUUGGCUAUAUAAGCACAGCCGCACCAUCCAUUGUAAUCAAGCAAGAAGAACCCUAAAAGUAGUCAGAGCCUCCAAGGGAGGGCGACGAAUAGGUUCUUCGUGCUAUCCCUAGUUCUACCAUAUCAUUUGGUAUUCAGAGCCUUAGAUCCUACGACCCUGCCAUCACCAAAUUUUUUCCACCCUGCGCAAGAUUAGAUUGAUCCCACAAAUCCCCCAAAACCCACCCACAAAUUGCAUCUUCGCAUCAACAAUCAGCCAUGGCAGAUUUCACCACCUUGGUUGAGGGCAUCAGAUGCGUGUCCAACGAUGUCAAUCACGUUUCGGAAGGGCUUGAUCUCUUCGCCCACAACAUACGUGAGAUAUUCGGCGAGCUCCGUGAGGAGUUACUGCUCCUGAAGGACAAGAUCGUAGUGCCGCCAGUGAAGACCCAACUUGCUGCAACCGCGACGGCCAUGGCAACAUCGUCCUCACCGGCCACGGCAACAUCUUCCAAUCUGCUGGCGGGGACUGUCUCCACUGUUGAUACGGUGGAAGAUUCAUACAUCGUCGUUGCUGCCUCACCGCCAACUUCUACGGCUUCCUUACCGACGAUCGUGGCAGCAUCUUCUCGAGUAGCAUCACUUGUGCCGCUAACCCCCGCAGCACCAUCAGUGGCAACGCCUUCUCCUCCAAGGGCAUCGUACCUAAUUCAAGCCACUACAUCGAGUCCGCCGGCGGCAUCUACACCAACAGUACUACCGGCCUACAGCAACCACGCGCGCAAGGGCCACAAUCCUCACCCGCUGAAGCUACGACUCGCCAUCCUACCCGGUGUGCGGACCUGUGUGUUCCCCUACCGGCACCAUCCUUGGCGCGCCCGCAGGCUAGCCAGCCUGCCUACCAGCGCCGCCUCUGGCACGCCCGCGGGCCAGCAUGCCAGCGCCACAUCUGGCACGUCCGUGGGCUGACCUGCCAGCGAUGCCCCGGAGCCGGCAGGGGCACCGCACCUGCCAGUCGUGGCUUCGACGGUCGCCUCGAUGCCCGCAGCAUCGGCCUCCUCCCCGGACACACUUUUUCAACAUGCUCGAGCCUCCCAGUAGCUCAGAGACUCCGCAGACCUCCCGACCUGGUGCAGUCUUCACGCCACCAUCUGCCUAUAGCUCGUCCAGGCCUUCAACUACGUCUGCUCAAGUGUGCUUCAUCGCCACCGGGUUCCAUCCACGUAUGGUCUGCAGCUGUGAGCAUUGCCAUAGCUCGAGGAUGAGCUGUCUUCGAGGGGUGGUGAAGUGUUAUGGCAAGUAGGCCGGCCGCGGGCCUAGGCCCACGAGUACUAUAGCUCAUGAUCAGUACCAAGAGGGGAAUAAGAUUGGUUUGUUAGCAGGUCAUUAGAGAUAAGGUUGUUAGAGAGAUAAGGUUAUUUAGAUUAGAUUGGAUUUGUUAGGUAGCUGGCUAUAUAAGCACAGCCGCACCAUCCAUUGUAAUCAAGCAGUAAUCAAGCAAGAAGAACCCUAAAAGUAGUCAGAGCCUCCAAGGGAGGGCGACGAAUAGGUGCUUCCCUUGUUAUACCAUAUCAAUGGCCCUAGGCCAUAAUGAUUUCGAUGAUUAAUGACAAUAUAGUCAUUGGGACUAAUGUGUUUGCAAGAUGUACCUUUGUAGGUGUUUUAUAGGUUCCAAGGAUGAAAUACAAAACCAUCAAAUGAUAGCAAAAUCCAGAGAUAGUCUUAUUCUAAGACUCUCAAAUGAUGGUAAUGAAGCCGGGACAAAAACACGCGAAGACUGGAAGAGAAUCCUGAUGGGAAUUACCACCGACGCAAUCCACCAAUUCGUAUGGUGGUGACCAAGUAUGGUCACUGAAUCAAUCGGUGACAAGUAGUAGGAUAGCAGCAGGGCCAAGGCAAUGGUCACCAGAUCAACCGGCACGUAGAAGAUCAAGCCACUGAAUCAAUCGGUGAAUCAAUCGGUGACAAAGAUGACCAAGGUAGCGUGUACUGUGACCACCGACUCAUUCGGUGGGCACAGAGGAUCACCACCGAAUCAGUCAGUAUAAUCGGCUUGUUUUAGGAUCAGCUCAAAAUCGGCUCUGUCUACUUUGGAGUGAUUUUAGAGCCACACCAAUUCAUAUGGUGGCUCAAGGAGCAGGGCAACAAUUGAGUCGGUGAAGGAGGAAGGCAGCAGCUCAAGACAGUCGCCGACACAUACGGUGAUAGUUAAGAUAGGGCACACUGAAUCAGUCGGUGACCCAGGCCCAGGCAUCAAUGGGCGUUGGCUGCCCAACGGCUAGUUGAGGUGGCAUGCACUAACUCAUUCGUUGACCACCCUUGUAUACCACUGAAUCAAUCGGUGCUACGCAGAAAGUUGUAACAGCCGGCAACGGCUAGUUUAUUAAGUUGGGGCUAUUUAUACCCCAUUGCCCGACCAUUUGAAGGGUGUUAGAGCUUGGAGAAGCUAUAGGCUUGGUUCUCACGUACACACAAGUGCUCUAUCCACCAAAAUGCUCAAGAGAAGAUUAAGGCAAUUAGCAUAAGGCUUAGAUCUUGAUUAGUGCUAGUUUAGGCCUAUUAGUGCAUUGCUUUAGGAUUUAGCCUAGAGUUAGGCAAGGUUUGCACACCUCCUUUGUGUUGGUGCUUGCGCGCACAAGAGUUGUAAAUCCGGAGCUUGUAAGUCUUGCAAAACCCUCCAACCGCGUUUGUGGAGUGGCCGUCGGUGCUUGUGAUAGGGAGGAGAGGCUCUAGGCGUUUUGCCGAAGCUUUACCAAGUGAAGAGCGGCAAGGAGCAUCCGGGAGAGGCUAGGCGGAGACCCACUUGCGCGUGGGGAAGGCCCGUCGGCUAUCCUACGGAGUUACUUGACCGGGGAGCUUAUGCCCUUGCGCGGGCAUUCUCUUUGAGAGGGGUUCCAACAACGAGGAUAGUGCAGUAAAAAUCGCCGCGUCGUCACGCCGGGAGUUUGCCUUCUCUACCUCAUUUACCCUCCGCAUUUCUUAUUGCACUUACUUUCCACAUUUGCCUUUCCUAGAAUUGCCAUGUGUAGUUUGUAGGAUUAGAAUUUAGAGUGCAAAACUCUUUUGCGGUAGAGAUAACAACACAUAGAAAAACCUAGUGCACAUCUAGAUAGAAAUUGGAUUAAAUUUUUAUAUAUGCUUGGAGGCUUAGUUUUUAGAACAUCCAAUUCAUCCUUUUUUUUAGUGUGUUGCGGUCCCUUCACUCUGCACUGCACUAAGCAUAUGCUAGAUUGAAUUUUCAGAUCAGUGGGCUUCGGAACAGCCGCGUUUGCUUUAGCGGUUCUUGAGGGCAACACACAGCCAGGAGUUUGGUUUCCAGAAGAGGUGAGUAAUGCUUUAGUACAAUAGCCCUAAAAAAUGGUUUAGUACAAUAAAAACAUGAAAAGGAAAGUCAAGAAAUGACUUCAUUUCGCAAACUAAACUACGUCAAAUUGUUAUAAUGCAGCCAGAGGGAAUACCAAUCGAAGCAAGGAAGCUGCUUCUUGAGCGUGCAUCUCAAGGGACAAGUAACUUCGUGAUGAACAAGUGAUCUCUCCUUUUCCCAACCUCAAAAACAGCAUUAAUGUUCCAAAUCGUGUUUUGUUUGAGCUAACAUGUGAAUUGGCAGGCCUUCCUGGAUGGUAGAAACUGAUCCAAAGGAAGUCAUCCUAGGAAUCUAUGUGUGAGAAGAUAUAAAUGUGCUUAAAUUUCCUGGAUGCUGGACAAUGGCCAACUAAAUAUUGGAGUAAUUUACCAGCUGCGAGAAGUUGAAUGCAACAGCCAGCAGCAUGUUGAAGCCCCCCAGAUUGAGCAUGAUGUUUUUGUAUGACUAUUUGGGCUAUUUUAUGUUUGAAAGGGUUGUACAUGAAAAAUGAUGGUUAUAAGAAAAAAGAAUACAGGUGAAUAAAAGCAAUUUUGUGCAGCACACAGAUGAUAAACUUGUACGCUGGCAGACGCAUUGUCUGUGCAACAACCUUACCUAAAAUUCAUUUGACGUUCAUCGCUCCACUGCCACCAUCACCAACGGUUGCCAACGACGCACGUCGUUCUUGCGCUCGCUCCAAACAGCGCCCACGGCGACGCAACACUUUCACCGACAUCCCUCGGCGAGAGCGGUAGCCCGUAGCCCCCUAGGCGAUAAGCCCACCGGAAUGGCCACCAUGGGCGUGGUCAGAGCAUGCGCGCCUCCCGCCCCCGCGCCCACCGCUCCAUCAGCCGACGCUGCCAAGAGGAAGCCCUCCAGGAGCGCCCGCGUGCUCGUGCUCGGCGGCGCCGGCCGCGUCGGAGGCUCCACGGCCACCGCGCUCUCCAAGCUCCGCCCUGACCUCAACAUUCUCGUCGGAGACAGGAACCGGUACCCCACCCUCGAUACCAACUCCUCUGAAGUCUGAACCAGCAGCGUGUCCUUAUCUGUUCGUUCUGAAAUAAUAUGCCACUUAUCGGUGGCCCAUUUUGCCAGGGAGAAAGGUGAAUCCUUUGCAGCUAAGCUUGGCGAGAAGUCUGAAUUCGUCCAAGUUGAUAUCCGCAAUGCGAGCUUGCUGGAGAAAGCGCUACAGGGUUAGUAAUGACACAUCCUACUUAUGAUCUGACUAAAGCUCCAAACAACCCUCACCUGACUCCUGAUGUUGUUUGGAGCUUUGCAACAGUUGGAGCCCCUAAACCACUGUUUAAUUUUGCUUGAGGAGAAGAAUAACUACCCGAAAAUUUUCUUUUUCCCUAGGUGUGGAUUUAGUUGUCCAUACUGCUGGACCUUUCCAAAGGGCGGAGGAGUGCACUGUAUUGCAGGCAGCGAUAUCUACUAAGGUAGCACAGAAAGUUCGCCAACAGAAAGAUGCUGUGCUUGAGGCGCAAUUGCGUCAUUUUUGUGAAAUCAAUUGAAAUUUAAGAAAAUGUUACUUACCUGAAAAUGCUAUUGGCACACUUCCUUUUUCUGAGCAGACAGCAUACAUUGAUGUUUGUGAUGAUACUGAUUAUUCAUGGAGAGCAAAAGGUUUCCAUGAACAAGCAAAAGCUGCCGGUAUUCCAGCUAUUACUACUGCUGGCAUAUAUCCUGGAGUCAGCAAUGGUAAUUGGUGUAUUUUCUUUCUGUUGGUAAUUUGAUAUUCAUAAAUUUCCUCGUAUGUGCUUAUUCUCUUUUGACGAAUUGUACGACCACAUUUUUUUGGACGGCAAGUUAGAUAAAUCAUGUGAACUCAAGCUAGUAUGAAGAGGGAAAAUGGGGAAAUAGAUUAAGCAUGUAUGCGCAACAUUGAAAUUAUAGAAAUGAGUUGCUCCCUCUGCACAAAAUGCAUAACAAUGACAUAUCAGGAUUUCGAAGAAAUGACAUUUACUGAUCUUUUCUAUCACAGUGUGCUGCUAAAGGCUCUGGAAAUGUAAUUAAUGUAUUUUUAUGGUGAUAUAUUAGUAUUAUUUGGUUACGUCAAUCUAUAUGCAUUUUCUCAUAUUAGUGUGGUCAAAUUAAAGUUAAAAUUGUAUGACUAGACACUGUCCAGGAAGAAAAACUGCAUACAUUUGUGCACUAGGGAAUGGAGUAAUGGACCAAUGGAUUAUCGUUUAAUUGCCAAACUUAAAUAACAUGUCCUCACCAACUGAGGAAGAGGCUCAAUUGUGCAUUCGUUCUUCCAGUUCCAGGACACAAUGUGAUACAAAUCAAAAUUGACCACACCAAUUUGUGUACAAAUAAUUUAGUGAAUUUUCUUUCAUUAAGUAAUAGAAGUUGCCAUCUAGAAGAGGUGGAAUAUCUUGAAUUUUGUAGUGACUAUUAAUGUAUUGUAUUCUUCUCUGGUGACAGUGAUGGCUGCUGAGCUUGUACAUGCUGCAAGAAGUGAAAAUGGUGAACCUGAGAGACUCAGGUUAGAUUUCUUUUUUUUUUCUAUAAAAGGACAUGUCAAAAUAGUUGUUCAGUGUAUGGAAAGUGUGGAUAUGAUUUUCUGUAAAUCGUACAAGUAUGAUAUGUUCCUUGCUAUAGAUAGGCUGAGAGUAUUCAUGUUAUGUUUACAAACACCUCAUAAUCUCUGUGUUGUAUUAACCACUUUCUUCAAUGGUUCCUUGAUUUAUGAAGGUAGUAAUUAGUGUUUUUACACAUCCAGACC